CUAUCAAUUAGCUCUUGUAGAUAUUCCUCUGCCACAACUUCUAACCUUUUAUUGUUUCUUGCCUUUACGAAUUGCUCAGCAAUCCAGAGCCUAAUCAACUUGGAAACAUUAAUCUCUCUGUCUUCUGGAAAACCUCCAACAUAGAGAAAACAAGCCUUUAAAUAUUGGGGCAAGUAAUUGUAGCUCAGAGAAAGAAUUGAUUGGCACCGUUCGGACACCGUACCAAAGAAUGAGUUCAGAUUUUCCUCAACCUUCUCCCAAUUAUCAUGUGUUGGGUCCAUUUUUCCAAGAAGUCCAGCAACGACAACAACCGAGAGAGGUAACCCUUGACAUUGUUGUACAAUAUGCUUCCCUGUUUCUUCUAGCAGAGGAGGACAUGGAUCUUUUUUGAAUAUUUUCUCAGUGAAUAGAUUCCAACUAUCUUCUAGACUUAGAAAAGACUUACUAUGAGGCGGAAAAUCAGGGCAGUUGACAUAAUCAGCAACAUACUUGAGCCGAGUAGUUAAUAGAAUUCGGCUUUUAUUGUUAUCAUUUGGAAAUAUUCUUUGCAUUUGGUCCCAUGCCUCAGUACUCCAAAUAUCAUCUAUGACAAUUAGGAAUCUUCUACCCUUCAAACCUUUAUACACAAUCUCCAUUAGUUCAUCAUUGCUCAUUUCUUGAUUGCUUCCUGUAAUUGAAGAGGCAACUUCAAGAAGCAUUUGUCUCUGAUUGUAUUCUUCGGAGAUAGUGACCCAUGCAUGUAUAUCAAAUCGAGAACGAAUAGAUGAAUCAUCAUAAACUUUUCUGGCAAGAGUUGUCUUACCUAUACCGCCCAUACCAAAAAUUGGUAUGACAAUUAACUCAUCUGUUAGAAGCAUUUGUCUCUGAUUGUAUUCUUCGGAGAUAGUGACCCAUGCAUGUAUAUCAAAUCGAGAACGAAUAGAUGAAUCAUCAUAAACUUUUCUGGCAAGAGUUGUCUUACCUAUACCGCCCAUACCAAAAAUUGGUAUAACAAUUAACUCAUCUGUUUGGGCAGUGAGGCGAUCAAGUAUGGUGUUGAAGUCAUCUUCCAUCCCAACAGUAGUAUUUUCCUCAUGAAUUGUAACUUUUUUUGGUGAGAAGGAAGUUGUUGCUAAUUCUGUAGAUUUGCUUCCAUGCUUAUUAAACUCAACCACCAUCACCUCCUUCCUGAGAGAGUCAACAUCUUUUUCCACUUUUAGCAAUUCUUCCUUGAAGAAUUUACAAGCCCCUUCUCUACUCUCUGUGCAAUCAGUUAAAAUGAUGCUUCUUAGGCUUGAAUCAACUUUAUCUUCUGCUUUGUAUACUACAUUUUUUAUCCUCUUUUCUACAAGCUUGGAAUUGAAACUCGAUAAAUUAAUUACUAUUUAAAAAAUAUAUAUAAGAUCAGUAAGAUUUAGAUGAGUAUACUAGUGAAUUACAUACCUUAAGAGUUACAAUAUCCUUUGUGAUAGUUUUGUCAAGGAAAAGUUGCAGAGCAGAAAGAUUUUGAUAGAUAGAUUGAACUUGUUGUUGUGUAUAGCUUGGACAAACGAAAUAUUGAUUAGGUUUGAAGAGUUGUUCCAAUGUAUACAUAAGUGAAGAAAGAGCAGCAUAAGCCAUUUCUCUUUGUUUGCUGGAAUAACUAAAAGAUAAAGAGGCUUUGCAGAUUUAAACUCUACGCUAUGUUAUUCUUUUUUCUUAGGCUAAGAGAUUUUGUCCACAUAAUUUACUUUUCUUUAUCACACCACCUUUUUCUAAAUGGGGACAAAGACAUAGGAUACUCACCCUUUAAAAAAGUCAUAGUAUAAAUAUUUGUAAAUGAUUUAAAUAUAAUUACAAUAUGUAUAAAUAGUAAUUCAUAAAAUUAAGUAAUCAAAAGGGAAGGAGUGUAACACCAAAUUAUAGCUUAACAUCAAAUGGACAAUCUAACAAUCAUAGCAAAUAGUUUUAAGAAAUUGUAUCAUUUUGAUACGUAGAUUUCACAUGAGUUAUUAGUUGUGCAGAUGUCAUAUAAUGUUUGAAGAGAAUAUAUGAAAAUUUAUCAAUAUCCAUUACAUUAUUAUAGCAUCACAAUAAAUUAUACAAUUUCAGAUGUACAUUAUGUUCAUCCCACAAAUAUUCGAAAAUAAGAUGAAAUAGAGUAGACUAAAAACAAUAAAAUAGCUAAUGAAUUCUAAAACUUUUAAAUAACAAAAAUUAAAGAGAGAAACAAUUCCAGUUUAAAAGAAUGGAGGAACUUCCUCAAUAACUAACAAAAACAUAAACGAAUUUACCUCUUUUUUUUGCAUAUGUGAUGAGCAAUAACAUCCGUCAGCAAUCAUCCAUCAACAAUUAUACAUUAGAAUAACUAAGUGUAUGCAUUAACAUAAAGUGAAUGUGAUGAGCAAUAUAAUUACAUCCACCAAUAAUCAUCCAUCAACAAUUAUACAUCGGAAUAACAAAGUGUAUGCAUUAAUAUAAAGUGAUUUUGAAAACAACUUUUUGGUAUAUAUAAUUAUAAGUCAGGAAUUAUAAAAGUCAUUUAAAAAUUGAUGAUAUACAUAACAUCUAUGAGAAUUAGAUUGGUUAAAGUUGGGAUAUGUAAAGUUUCUGACUAAAAUCUAAAUAUGUGUGCCAUAUUAAGAUGUCGAGUAAUUCAAAGGACAUUUUGUUGUUUAAUGUUUAAGGAUAUUUUAGUUUUUAAAGGAUAUAAUUUACUGCUUUUUGUUGUUACGAAAUACUUCAUCUGCCAAACUCCAUUUUAGAAUUUUUGUGAAUUAAUUCUAUCUAGAAAUAUAAUGGAUUAAUACCACAUAAUUAUUAUUUAAUAUUAUAUUAAUUAUUUUAGGAAUAAUUUCAGAGACCUCCCCUCAGGUUUGGCUUCAUAACACUCACCUCACUUGUGAUUUACAAUAUUACACUUGCCUCCCUUUAUUUGAGUUUUUGGUAACAAUUCAUUUAACUUAUUAAUUAUUAAUUAUUAAUGUAAAAAAAUUAUGAUACGACUAAUUUACCCUUUUUAAUAUAUCCUAUUUUGUAAAAAAAGCUUUUUUCAAAAAAAAUUGUUAUUAAAUAAAAAAAUUCAUCUUUCAUUAAGAAUAUUUUUCAUCUUCCAAAAAUAAAAAUAAAAAAUUCAUCUUCCAUUAAUCCAUUCUGCUUAACUUGUUUUAGAGUUGAUGUCACCGAUUUGUUUGUCUAAUUUUACUGAAAAUGAAGAAUCAAAUGUUGAAACUUUAAAAAUGGAGUAUCUCAAUUUUCAUAUCGACUGGAAUGCAAACAAAUUAACAUACAUUUUGUUCUAAUUUUGAUCAUUUUCUUUUCCUGUUCAGUAAUUAAGUCAUAUUAGAAUAUUAUAUUUUUAUUGACACUAUUCUAAGUGUUUUACCGUCAAUUGCAUAAAUUAUAAAUUCAUUUAAACAAAAUGGUUUCAAUGGAAGAUGAAAAUAAAUCGAUUAUCAACGAAUUAAAAAAAAAAGAAUUUUGAAGAGGGCAAAUUAGUCAGAUUAUAAUUUUUAUAUUAAUAAUUAAUAAGUGAAAUGAAUUGUUACCAAAAACUCAAAAUAAGGGAGGUAAGUGUAACAUCGUAAACCACAAAGGAGGUGAAUGUUAUUGAGUCAAACCAGAGGGGAGGUCUUUGAAAUUAUCCCAUUAUUUUAUUAAUACUAAUAUUUAAAUUUAGUGAAGGGGUAAAACCGUAAUUCAACUUUGAAGUUAAGAUCUUCCCACUUAUAAUAAUACUAGUUCCUGGGAACGCGCGUUGCACGUUUGUCCCAUAUAUACAAUUAUUAUAAAGUUGAAUUAUUAUAUAGAAAAUGUUGAAACUAAAAACAUUAGUUUUACCAAUUUAUAUUUUAUUCAUUAAAUAAAAUUCCUAAUAAUCGAAUAGUACAUUGACCAUCAAGCAAGAAAUAUGGAAAACUAAUUAAGAUACUAUAGCCUCUAAUAAUAUGAAUAUAUCUAUAUGACUUAUCCCCAAUAAUCUCUCAUUACGCUCUCAUAUCAGUAAGUAAACAAAUAUGUUGCUACUUAAAGAAACCAUAUCAGUAAGGAAAGGAUAAAAGAAAGAAAAUAUUAUAAAAGUACAUUUAAAUCUACCUUAAUAAUUAAUGAUCCAAGUGCUUCACUACUUUAACUGUACAUAAAAUGGAUAACCUUUGGUAGGGAUUCUUCUCAUGAAAUAAAAAGAAUGAUUUAUAUAGAUAAAAGUAGAGGAAUAUCAAAGACAUCCUAAAGUUUUAAAUGAAAUAUUUAAAAGUUAGGAAUAUUAAGAGUACCAAUUGAAUAGGUAAUUAUAUUAGUUAUGAAUUAUGAAGGUGGAUAUUUAAAGCAAAAGAAGAAGAAGAAAAAUAAUAAAUAAGUAAAUAAAAGAGAGAAAAACAUUACGGCAAAUGAUAUUUAAAUAAAUAGUGUUAUCAUAUUAUUUAUAGUGAACAAAAACUAACCACAUCAUAAUAAUAAGACUUCAAAUAUAAUUCUUUGAUUUUUCCUAUACAUGAAAGUAUUAAUUACUUUUAUGAACUGCAUAAAAUACAAAAUGCACAUAAAUUUUCAUAAAGUCAAAUACUACCACAUUAAUUAAGUUAUUUAAAUUAUUUUAGAGAAGGGGAAAAGGUUUAGUUAGAGUAUCAUAUACAAGUUUUCACGUACUAAAUAAAUGCACAUACUUUUAUGGAUAUUUUAAUCUUUUAAUUUUUUUUAUUUUACACAUUUUCACUUGUAGUAUUUAUCAUCAUAAUACUAAUAUAGUAAUGUGAUUAUUAUUUAAUAUUUAAUUAGUUAAAUAUUUUGAAUUAAGAUAGGGGUAAUUAAAUGAUGAUUCAACUUUAGACUUAUUCUUUAUAUAUAUAUAUAAUGAAUGGUACAUAGCAAAUAAAUUUUAAAAUAAUUGAAAAUCCAAAAAGAGCAAGAAAAAGUUAAAUGAUUCUCUUGACCACAUAGUUAUGCCCGUCACUUGGACUUCCUGAAUACUAUUAAUUUACAGUUUAUAUUUAUUACCGAAAAUUUUACAAAUCUAAAAUACUAAAAAGAAAUUCUAAAGGUUGAAUAAUUGUGGAAUAUGAAAGUAAUUCCACCACAUUGAAUUGAAUGAACUAAUGAGUGAGAAUGUAUCUGUUUUCUUGUUUCAUUUUAAUGAAAUAUAUUAUUAAUAGAUAGGUAAAUUUACUUUUUAAUACCAAUAAUUAAAGGAUUAGUGUUUAAUUAAAUACUUAAAUGACUAUUCAACCUAUAAAGGAUAAUUUGAUAAUUCAACUUUUAACUUUUUUUUGUUCCCACUUUUAGUAUAUAUAUAUACUCCAUACAGUUAAUGUGACAAUAACCUGAAAAUAAAUUUAGCUUAUCAAUUAAAAAUUAAAAUGACAUAGAAAAAGAGAAGUAAACACAAGAAUGAGAAAAAUAUGACAAAAUAAGAGUAUAAUAAUUGUUCCACAAAAAUUCUGAUAUUUAUAAACAGUUGGAAAAAAAAAGCCAUCUAAAAUGGUAAAGAUAAAUCUAUGAUACAAAAUAUCGUUCUAAUUAGGAUCAAAACAAAUAUUAAUAUUUCAAAAUUAAAAGAAAGUACCUGAAAAUUGCCUAAUGAUUCGCAUCAACAGGAGGCAAUUGGUAAAGAAAAAUUACUUUUCCAUGAUAUAUAUAUAUAGCUAAAGAUUUAUAGGAUAAGAUGAAAAGGUGAAGAGUUGUUUAGUUAAUUUUCAGAAGUUAGUGAUCUUAGACAUGGGGGAGAGGAAAGGUUGAUUGUUUUUACUAAUAAUUCAAUACAUUUAAUUACACUAAUUAUAGAGAAAGGAUAAGAAAUUUAAUUCAUUUAACCACACUAAUUAUAGAAAAAGAAUAAAGGAUAAAAGCUUUAAUUAUCUUUUCUUUUUUUUAUAAAAACGCUUUAUCUAAUCAACAAAUUUAAUCCAUUUAAACAUAACCUUUUUUAAAAGAAUUAGAUAAAAGCGUUUUUAUAUAUAUAAAAAAUAAGCAAUUCCUAACAACUUUCUAUGAAAUAAUUUCUAACAAUUUUCUAUGAAAUAUUUUUGUCUUUCAAAGUUUGACUUUACACCUUCUUAUUUUUAGUAUUUAGUAUAAUAUAAUAUAAUUAUUACUUAGUAUUUAAAUAAUUAGAUAUUUAAUGAUAUUUUAAUUUAGUGUGAGGGUAAUAUGGUAAUUCAACUUUGUAUAGUGGAGCUUCCCACUUAUAAUAAUAUAUGAUAUGAUGAUUAAGAAAUCUUUCAAAAUAUCAAAUAAACCAAUAAGGAUUCUUAUUAACAUUUCAAAAAAGUUUUAAAAACCACACUUAUCCUUUUGGACUACUGUUGCUUUGUUUUUGGGCUCUGACCCAUUCCGGUUGUUUUUGCCAUUGGACUCUUUCCAUCUUCUGCAGAAGUUGUAUUUUCAUUAUAUUUGUUGAUCUUUGUCGUAUAAGAUUGUUUCUUUUUCAACUUCUUGGAUGUAAGGUUUAUCAAGAGAGUAUUCUCGGAUUUGGUGAAGAAAUGCCCAAAAAUAGUCCGAUUCAUAUUCGUCAAGUUUGGAAUGACAAUCUCUGAUGAAAAUGGGAAUUUACCCAAGUGUGUAACUGAUAAAUAUUGCAUAUGACAAUUCGAUUCAGUUAUUUCAAAUCUGAACGAUCAUGUUUAUGCUAACGACUCAAUUGUGUAGGAUUGCAACCACCCAUCUCCACUAACUUCUCAAGAGCAACGUUUCAGAUUACAACUCCGCAAUCUUAGGAGUUGAAGUUUAGGGUACAGAGAGAUGACAAAAAAUAAUAGCCAAGAAUGACAAAGGCUUGUGUGAAUAGCAAGGGCAUCAACGUGUACAUGACUCAAUUAUAUUUACAAUAAUAUCCUUGACAUAAGGACUAACUCUAGUAUCUCAACUUCACAGUUCACUCAAACUGUUCUAACUACUCUCCAACAAGUCAAACUCGCUUCUUGUUACAAACCUCACCCACACAAUUACACUCUUUAAUUUAGAAAUUAUUACAACUCAAUAAUAACCCUAGAACAACUCAAUAAAGAUAUAUUAAAGCUGCAGCUAGGUAAAAACUAAUUGAAAAACUCAAAGCCAGUGCACUGCACUUUGCAUGGAGGGAUCUUUUCCAAACUCCAUUAGAGCUGUUAAAAGCAUCGAAGCUCUACAAGAUACCUCAGUCACGCGCCCAACAAGUGGUACCUUCACUGUCUCCCUAUUCUGUAAAGGUUUAUAAUCCCAGCUGCAAACAUUGUUCGCAAAACAUUCAAAAACAGGAAUAAACUAUACAAUCAAACACUAUAUUAUGUAUAUAUUAGAAUUAAGAAUUGACUAAGAAUCAAAGAUGGAAAUGAACAUACCAUAGGAGUAAUUUGAACUUGAAGCUCAUAAUUUCCAAAGCUUUGUUGCUCUUUUCGAAUUCUCUUUGCACUAUUCUCUACAGCAGAGCUGCAAUCAACUAUUUGGAUCAAUUUUAGUGUCAUUAUAUCUCCAAUACUCUCGGGAAUCUCCUCCAGUUCAAACAACCAAUUCAGUAUUAGUUUCUCAAGCAUAGGAAAAUUAUCACUACCAGCUGCUUCCCACCUUUGCAGAUCUUUGGACCUAAUUAGUAGAUGUUUUAAUUUGCGAAACACAACAUCUUCAUUAAGUGUCCAAUCUGUUCCAGAAAAUGCAUAAUACCCCUUUAGCACCUCAAGAUUGGGUAAAUUAGACAGCAAAUUCAUAACUUCCCAUGGUAUUUUAGUAUUUGAUAAUGUCAACUUCUUGAGAUUAGGAGGGAAAACAUCCCCAGAGAAAAUCAACGGGUCAAUGGAGUUCACCUCUAUCUUUAGUGUCUCCAGCUCCUCUAGAAGAAUUAGAGAAUCAGGAAUAGAAGGAUAGUCAGAAAUUUCGCACAUCUUUAGCUUUUUUAGAUUGGGAGUUCUUCUUAUGAUUUCCUUAGAAAAAGGAGAGAACUGGAGAGUAAGUGUGUGCAAGUUAUUGAGAAACAAAGGUUGUUCUCCAACACUAUUAUUUUCUCCCUCAAGAGGAUUUGAAAUGUAUAGUGGCCAUUCAAUAUCCAAAUGUCUUAUCUCUGUCAUUCUCCAGAUAUCUAAUGGGUGGACCAACUCUGUCUGUUCAAAACCUACAAAAAUUAUGAUCUGUAGAUUUCUCGAUUUGGCUAGUGAAAGACCUCCCUCAAUUCUUGCAGCAACAUAUCUCAAAUGUACAAGCUCAGGUAUUACACUAGAGAAAUCGUACCAAACUGAUAAUACGUCCAACACCUUAAGCAACUUGAACUGUGAAACAAUAGAGCAAAUCACAUCUGGAGAAUCUAAAUCAAGAGAUUGCAUUGAAAUAAAGGUACGAGUUAUACUUGUUAUAUCAUUGAUAUAAACUUGCUUCUCUUCAUGUUUACGCAGAUCAAUCACUCGCCGCUGAUCAUGUAUGACUUCUAAUAAGGACACGAGAACAUUCCCAUUCAUGUAAUACACAAUAUUUUCAGUAUGAACUUCACUUAGGCAUAGUUGGCGAAAAAGAUCGUGAAUUUUGCAAGUUUCUAUCCUUCCAUUAGCCCUUUGUUUACCAGUCAAAAUUAGACUUCUAUCAAUUAACUCUUCUAGAUACUCCUCUGCCACUACUUCUAACCUUUUAUUGUUUCUUGCCUUUACAAAUUGCUCAGCAAUCCAUAGCCUAAUCAACUUGGAAACAUUAAUCUCUCUGUCUUCUGGAAAACCUCCAACAUAGAGAAAACAGGCCUUUAAAUAUUGGGGCAAGUAAUUGUAGCUCAGAGAAAGAAUUGAUUGGCACCGUUCGGACACCGUACCAAAGAAUGAGUUCAGAUUUUCCUCAACCUUCUUCCAAUUAUCAUGUGUUGGGUCCAUUUUUCCAAGAAGUCCAGCAACGACAACAACCGAGAGAGGUAACCCUUGACAUUGUUGUACAAUAUGCUUCCCUGUUUCUUCUAGCAGAGGAGGACAUGGAUCUUUUUUGAAUAUUUUCUCAGUGAAUAGAUUCCAACUAUCCUCUAGACUUAGAAAAGACUUACUAUGAGGCGGAAAAUCAGGGCAGUUGACAUUAAUCAGCAACAUACUUGAGCCGAGUUAGUUAAUUAGAAUUCGGCUUUUAUUGUCAUCAUUUGGAAAUAUUCUUUGCAUUUGGUCCCAUGCCUCAGUACUCCAAAUAUCAUCUAUGACAAUUAGAAAUCUCCUUCCCUUCAGACCUCUAUACACAAUCUCCAUUAGUUGAUCAUCGCUCAUUUCUUGAUUGCUUCCGGUAAUUGCAUAGGCAACUUCAAGAAGCAUUUGUCUCUGAUUGAAUUUUUCGGAGAUGGUGACCCAUGCAUAUUUAUCAAAUCGAGAACGAAUAUAUGAAUCAUUAUAAGCUUUUCUAGCAAGAGUUGUCUUACCGAUACCGCCCAUACCAAAAAUUGGUAUAACAGUUAACUCGUCUAUUUGGGAAGUGAGGCGAUCAAGUAUGAUGUUGAAGUCAUCCUCCAUCCCAACAAUAGUAUUUUCCUCAAUUGUCCUUUUUUCUGGUGAGGAGGGAGUUGUUGCUAAUUCUGCAGAUUUGCUUCCCUGCUCGUUAGACUCGAUCUGCACCACCUCUUUCCUGAGAGAAUCAACAUCUUUUUCCACUUUUACCAAUUCUUCCUCAAAGAAUUUACAAGUCUCUUCUCUCAUCUCUGUGAGAUCUGCUAGCAGAGUGAUGAUAUAUCUUAGGCUUGAAUCAACUUUCUCUUCUGCUUCGUAUACUACAUUUCUGAUCCUCUUUUCUACAACCUUGAAAUUGAAACUCGAUAAAUAAGUUAUUGUUAAAAAAUAUAUAUAUAAGAUCAGUAAGAUUUUGAUAACUAUAUAUACUAGUGAAUUAAUUACAUACCUUAAGAGUUUCAAUAUCCUUUGUGGUAGUAUUGUCAAGGAAAAGUUGCAGAGCAGAAAGAUUUUGAUAGAGAGAUUGAACAUGUUGUUGUGUAUAGCUUGGACAAACGAAAUAUUGAUUAGGUUUGAAGAGUUGUUCCAAUGUAUACAUAAGUGAAGAAAGAGCAGCAUAAGCCAUUUCUCUAAAAGAUAAGAGCCUCGCAGAUUUAAUGUCUCUGCCUGAGAUAAUUUACAUGAAUUUGGACAAUUUUCUAUUUAACAUCUACAUCACAACCACACAACUUGUGGUUCAUGGAUGCAAAACUGUGGAUUGACUAAGUCAAAGUGAGAUAAAAAAAAAAUGAAAGAUAAAGACAUAAUAACAUGUCAAGUUGUAUUAAUAUAAUAUACUUCUAAUGAAAAAUAAAGGAUCUCUUGGAGUUUUCCUAAAGAAUUUUCAAACAUCAGUCGUUCAGAUUUCUGAUUCAUAUACAUUGGAUUCCAACUUGUCAGAGACAUUGAACCCUGUUGUAAAAUAGAAUAAUUUACAUUGAAUAAUGAAGACAUCAUGUGUCAAGUUGGACGAAUAUAAUAAACUCUCAGUACAAAUUUUCCUUGAAAUUUAUAGGCAUAAUACAUAAAUAUGACAUUUAACUUAACCUCAUUUUAUAUUUAUGCCCUCCAACUUUGAAUGUGCACAAGUAGACACUUGAAUUUGUAUAAAAUUGAACAAAUAGACACACACGUCCUACGUGGCAUUCUACAUGUCAAUUUGUGUCCUAUGUGUAUUAUGCUACAUAGGACUCAUAUGUCUACUUGUUCAACUUUAUACAAGUUUAAGUGUCUACUUGUGCACACAAAAGUUGAAGGGUCUAAAUGUGAAAUGAGGCCAAGUUAAAAGGGACAUUUAUGUAUUAUGCCAAAUUUAUAUUAUCAUAAAAUGUCAUGAUGUAUUGAGCUACUUAAAUUAAUAAUACCGUCUAGAAUUGCGUACAAAAAAAACACAUAGAAUGAAGAUUAACCACCCCACAGUCUUACUUGAAACAACAAACCAACUCUUAUCCAAAGGGUUGAGAUAGGCCUAAACCAUUAGAAACACAUUUUUCCCCAACCAAACUAAAGCUAAAUAAAAGCACAGAUAGAUGAUUGGAAGAAAAGAACAAAGGGUUCAAAAAUGCUUUUAAAAUUUAUUGGCCAAACACUAAUUGUUUCUUACCAAAAGUGUUUUCUUUAAGAAAAAUAAUUUUCAUAAUAAGCUAAUUUUAAAAGUUUCGACAAAAUAAAUCCUUCUCUAAUACAUAUAAUUGGUAACUUAAUUAAUUAUGACAUGGUAAGUUUUACUUCCAUUAACCAUAAUUUCUCAAUUUUACUAUUAUAAAAAAAAAGGUAAAUUGACUAUUUUAUUCACUUACUAUUCGAUGGAAAACUCAAGUGUAUCUUUCCGCUGUGCUAUUUUUCUCAUUGCUUGCAUUUGUGGUAUGUACGCAUCUACUAUUACAUUAUAUUAUUAAGUAUAAAUUAUACCUACAACUUAAAUAAAAUUAUCAAUAAAGUUAAUGUUAUUAGGGUCGUGCUAUCGAUAACUAGUUUACAUAUACAAACACUAGUGGCAAAAAACUCCAUGUUUCGCAUGGUCCCAAUAUUUAUUCAUGAAGUAAUAUAUAUAUAUAUAUAAAAGAGAAUCUUAGGCCAGUCUACGUGGUCCACCACAAACCAGAAUUCUCUUCAUGUUUACGCCGACCAAUCACUCGCCGCUGAUCAUGUAUGACUUCUAAUAAGGACACGAGAACAUUCCCAUUCAUGUAAUACACAAUAUUUUCAGUAUGAACUUCACUUAGGCAUAGUUGACGAAGAAGAUCGUGAAUUUUGCAAGUUUCUAUCCUUCCAUUAGCUCUUUAUUUACCAGUCAAAAUUAGACUUCUAUCAAUUAACUCUUGUAGAUACUCCUCUGCCACAACUUCUAACCUUUUAUUUUUCUUGCCUUAACGAAUUUCUCAGCAAUCCUUAGCCUAAUCAACUUGGAAACAUUAAUCUCUCUGUCUUCUGGAGAACCUCCAACAUAGAGAAAACAAGCCUUCAAAUAUUGGGUCAAAUAAUUGUAGCGAAUUGAUUGACACCGUUCAGAUACGGUACCAAAGAAUGAGUUCAGACAAAAUAAAUGGAGCCCACAGUGGACAAUGAAAUAUACUUUAACGGAAAACAAAGCUGCAAUAAUCUGAACCAAUGAGAAAAAAGAAAUCAGCUCAAACGACUCAACUACCCUCAACAGGCAAGCAAGGUAUGUUGACCUGUUGCCUGCUUAAGCUGGUGAAACUCCCUUUUAUAAUUACUAUAUACUAGACAGAGGUGGCCCGUACUUGUUGAAAGAUAUUUGUGAGCUAAAUGCACACAUACAGAGACAGUCUCACACACACACAUAUUUCUGUAUUUAUAUACAUAGAUGUUAUAUAUAUAGUUGACAAUUGUUUGUGGCUGCGUUAUUUACAUAUUGCACUAUUUACGUAGUGCUGCAUCUUCCCUGCUUUCCUGCAGUUUUAAGUCAGAGCUUAAGAAGAAGUACCUGCGCAAGAAGAGAGAAAAUGAAUUUAAGUUCAACGUUGGAAUAUUUAGUUAUACAUGUAUAUCUAUGUAUGCAUUUUUAUGUUAUGAUUUUAGCCAUUUUGACGACCUUAUAAUCUUCUCCUGUUUGAUAAGAGUUGCAUUUGUGAACAAUAAUAUAAUCAAAUUGUAGCAGGUAUAGUGUAGUGGUAAAAGUGUGAUUGUGAAGUAAAUAAAUCAGUGUGAAGUAUAUAUAUAUAAGGAUAUCUACGACACUGUAAAGAGCACAAACCUAAAGCCAACCACUAAAGCAGUGGCUUUAGGUACCAAAUAAAUUAGGGCGUCAAAAUUAGAAAUUUCCGUGGCUCCGAAAGAAGCAAAAACUCCAAGUUCAGUUGAAACAGACAAUACGAACAUAUAUAUCCAAAAACAUAGAUUUGAUUAAACGAAAAACACAACUCGAGAUCUAACCAAAAGCAGAGCAAGCACAGAGUAAAACACAUAAACAGUAAACCCAAAAGAUGAAGGAGAUACAUACAUACGUUACAUGAGAUAUUAUCUGGUGACAAGAUGUGAUAUUAUUGACGCCACCUUUAGACUUUAAAACUAACAUUACUAUAUGAUAAUGAACUAUUAGUAACCUUAACUCAAUAAAAACUUAAGUCACAUCAAAUAUUUAUAUAAUAUCUAUAUUCAAUAGACAUGUCGUAGUGCUGCUGGGAUCAUCGCCAUAUUAGGCUGCCACAACAGUAAUUAAAAUUCCGAGACAUCCAUCUAACAUAGCAGUUGAGACAUGAAAAAUGUAAUCCUUAAAUCUUAAAAGCUUCAAAAGAAGGAAGAACCAAUGCAGAACCUAGCUAAGACUGAACAGCAGAAAAAGGGUGAACCACAGAGGGGUUCAUGGGCCGUGAACAGGACCACAACCCGUCACCCUCGUCGUGUUUCACAUACAGCAGGGCACGGAGGUCCACUAGCCCCUACACUGACCGUGGAACCCCACACGGUCCAUCAAUAUGCUCGUGAAAGCAUGCCAGAGACCCCUGUCACGCCCCGAGGCUAUCCCCUUGACGUAAACAUGGGACCUAGGAUCAGGAGUGACCCCAGGCUAACCCUGAAGCUGACAUAUCAUAAGCAUACUAAAACAACUGAAUAAAAAGAUACUAUGCUGAAGCCAAAACAAGAGAUAACUGAAAGAUGGGGAAUACCCAAAACUGAUCUGAAUAAAUAAAAUGUACUAUGAGUUUCGUGAUCCUAAACAAUCACUCUAAGCUAAAGUUGAAUCGACAUGCCCCCAGCUAACUCUAGCAAAACUGAAAACUGAAAUGAAAGACUAAAUGUGAAAAAAACAUGUCUAUUGUCCUCGAAGUAUGAGGACUCACCACUGAAGCUGCUGAAUGCGGACCGAUAAUCGAUCUAAGCGUGAUCUGGAUGCUGAGUACUGUUGACACCCAAUUUUGACCCUCCCCGAUAGGAAUAAAUUUUUAAGCUUAUUUAAUUUCAAAUAAUUUGAAAUAAUUAGCUUUGCGAGGUUCAAAUAUUUUUUCAAGUUACUUUUAAGAAUUUUAGUUACUUUUCAUAAUAUUUUAAAUAUUUCAAAUAAUAAAUAUAUGUAUAUUUUAUAUAUAAUUAGUAUAUUUUAUAAACAAAAAUCACCUCAAGAUGUUACAUUUUUAGAUAAGUACUUUAUUAAUUUAGUUUAAAUCAUAUUUGCCAUUUCGAAUAUUAGUUCGUAUUUUAAAUUAAUUACCUUAUAAUCGAAUUAAUUAUUUUAUUUCGUUAGGAUUAAGAAGCUCAUUAAUUGAUUUAUACUAAUUCAUCUUUUAUUUAUUUUAGCCUAAUCACCAACUAAACUAAUUUGUCUAGAUUUUUAAUUCCAAUUGGCUACGAUUGAAAUUCAUACGGUCAUUUUUCUAAAUUACAAUUUUAGUGAUCCUUCAACUAAAUUGCAAGACCAAGAAUUUGGGCCUUUCCUUCAAAUUUUCAGCAUCCUAAUCUUGCCAACCCAGGCCCAUUUCUUCCCAAAGAAACCAAUUUCAGCAAUUCCAACUUUCCUCAACCCCAGCCCAAACCUUGUUCUCAAAGAAGACCCAUGCGUCUCUUUCAACGUUUAGAAGCAGCUUGCAAGCGCUAGCAACAAUUUCAGACGCGUACAACUCAACCUCCGACCCCGUACGCGUCUUCUUCUCCCUCACGCGUCAACAACAGCACCUCCAUCAACAAGUUCACGGCGUGAACUCGAGGACAUCAACAAAUACACAGCGAUUCCAAACGGAAAGCAAAGCGCGUCAAUUCAAGCGGCGUCAAAUAGACGGAAGGCAAAAUUCUAACGUCUCCAAAGACAGAGGACGCGUCUCCUUCCUCAAGCUAGUACGAUCUUAUACAACUUUUCCUCGAUUCCAGCUGCUGUUUCGUCCUCGCCAGCACGAGAUAAGGCCACGUCGCCCAAGGACAAUCGAAUCGAUCAAGAGCGUCCAUCUCCUCUUUCCUCUUCUGGAAUUGGGCGAAAUUUCAGAAAAAAGGUGUCUCAAGGUUUCUGGAGUUUGAAUUUCGAAAUGGGCCCAAUUCCUAUCCAAAUUUCAUCAGUUUCCCCCAAAAUUCCGAACCCUACUUUUCCUCUAUAUAAACCCCCUCUUUUUCUUUGUUAGGGGUUGGAUUUUUUUUUAGCAAUAGAACAGAGAACAACUUAAGCAAAAAAGACAUACUAAAUACAUUUCAAGAAACCAGAGGAGAUAGUCAGUUUCAGUGUUCGGGUCCAACGUUCUGCUUGGAUUUCUUGGUUAUUGCUCGAGUCGGAACGUGCGUGGUGAAGUCGUGGUUUCCUUGCUCAUUUUCGUCUCCGUUCACUGCACUUUGAAAGGUAAUACUCAUUUUUCGUUUCAAGCAUUUUGCUUUUAACGUGUUGUUGCUUGAUUCUUGAUUGUGAAGAUGUUUACAUGUUAGCAUUUGGGAAUGUUUCUGACUCAUUGUUGGCUGCGAAUCAGUGAUAAAGUUUGUUCAAUAGUCCUUUGCUGUUUGUUCGUUCUUCGUUUUCAAAAUGGUUUUAAUACUCGUUUGAGUUUAUACUGCUGUCUGUGUUCUUCCUGCAUUCAUGGCCAUCAUGCUUGCCGUUUAAUGUUUAGCCUUCCUUUAUGGGUUUGUUUUGGUUCGUCCUGUUUGUUGUUGAUAGUAUGGAGUUAGUUCUAGGUUAGGAUUCAUGUUUGGUUUAACAUAGUUUUACCCUCGUCUUGAACAGUGAUAAGUAUUCCAGUUUUAGUUUUCAUCAUCGUGUAACAUGAAAUUAUCUAUUGUAAGCAUAACCGGUUGGUAGCUCACCCAUUUAUUUGGUGUUAUUAAUGAACCAUGUCAGCCUCUUUGAAUAUGGUGUUGGUCUCUACCUAUAUGUACUUAUAAGCAUGAUAAGUUGAGUAAAGAUGUUUGCCUUGUUUAGUUGUUUGAAUAUAAUAAUGGCUUUCUUCAAAAACUGCUUUGGCCUGCUUCUUUUGUUUUAUGUAUAGCGUUCUGUCCAUUAGCAUGAUAAAAUAGCAUUAUUAGGCUUCAUUUAGUAGAGUUAUUUUGAUCAUAGUAUGAGGUGUGUUACUUGUUGAUUUUGUAGCAUGGCUUUUCUGUUGACAUUUGGAAAUACUGUUGAUUAUCGACUAGGUAUAUAUUUGUUCUUGUUUUCCCCCCCUUUUGUACGUCCCCUUAGAUUUUAUUGCUCAUAGGUAUAUGCAGGUUAUUGAUAAGUAUUCUAGCAUUGUUUGUCAAUUUUUGUCAUUUAUCAAGUUAAUUUAGUUUUGUCUUCCUCAAAGUCACCGGUUACGUUUGAGUUCAAUACUUGGGUUGGUUUUUCUUGGUUUUCGAUUUGCUUGGUUGAUUUUUCAUUUCAAUUGAUCUGUGUUUUGUUUAAGUCAUGUCUCAUUUGUUUUAUCAUUUCGAAUGCUAAUUCUUGUCUUUUUGUUUUGUUGUAUGAACCCUCUCCGAGUCCAUGAUGGAUUUUCCUUCCUUUGCAUUCCCGAAUCGAGCCAUAAAGGGUCAAUCUCUUUUCGUCAUCGAGUCAGCCAAUAUAGGGUAUACAGGGAAGAAAUGCGAAAAUACAGGAGGCUGGAAGUUGGAUUUUUGGUGUCCAAAAAUCCCAAAAGAGACUGAUAUACCUGCUGUAUACAUUGGUAUAUAGUCGGAAAAUAUUAUAUACAGGUCAAAACGUCAGAAUACAGGUGGAAAAUGCAGAAAUACAGAAUUUAAAUAAAAUUACAGGUCCGGGAGUUCGAGAAUUAGUGGUAUACAUGGUGUAUACAUCAAAUAUACACCUGGUGUAUAUCAUGACUAAUUAGAAUGAAAGGGGCAAAAAGCCCAAGGAAUUUUUCAGCAGGUCCAGCAGGUGUAAAAAUGGGCAAGAUCAUUUUUAGAUUUAGGACAAGGAAAUUGAUCUGGGCCUAUCAGAUUUGAGGAUUUGGGCAAAUUGGCCAAGUUCAAUUUUCUCUCCUUUCUCCUCUUUAUUUAUUUGUUAUUGUAUUGACUAGCAUUUUGAUCUAACUUAAUUAAUUCCCAAAAGAUAAGUCAUUUCUCUUUUUAUGUCCAAUAUAUAUAUAUAUAUAUAUAUAUAUAUUACUUAGCUUUAUUUUUAUUAUCAGUCUUGUCAACACUUGAAUUAUUUCCCUUAGAAAAUUUCCCUUUAGUUUAUUUCCCUUAAAUAAAAAAUGAGUUUUAUUUCUUAAUAAAAGUCUUAAAAGUUAGUUGAAAGCCAUUUUAGUCAAAUCGCUGGUCAACCACAAGUUAACGGAUAUUUCGAAGGCCUAAUACCUUUUCGGAAUGUACAUUGAACUUGAACCCUUUUAUUUUCAAUUGAUUUUGUCUGUUUAAAUCCUUUCAAAUAACUUUGAAUUUUUCUUGAUUUUUACUGAAAAUCUGAGUGGCGACUCUGUUUCUUUUGGAAAUUCAAUUUCUCUUCAAACCAUAUGUUUAGUCGAUUUUUUGAAAUAAGUCAUUUUUCUUUUAUUUUUUUCAAGUAAAACAAGUACCUGAACCUACAUCAUGAAAGGAUGUAGCAGAGUAUGCGUCAGUACUUGGAAUGUACUGAGCAUGCAAGAUAUAGAAUAUAGUUGAACAAACAUAUAAACUGAACAAAACGUAACUGAGUAAUGAUAUAAAUGAAUAUGAAUGUAAAUACUGCAAUAUACUGAAAGCUGAACUAUAUGCAAUGACCUAGUACUAAAUCCUGAAUAUGACGUGCUCACUGAAUACCAAAGUAUAGACUGAAAACCUGGUCAAAAUGCACUAAAGUCUGACUGUGGGGAACUACUAUUAACCGACAUAAACCACGUGAGCUAAACAUGGAGUCCGAUGUAUAUGCUCCAUCGAGAGGACCCAAUAUACCUUGCCAGGGGUAUAAAGGCAUGACUGGCGUGAUCACUAAAUCUGAUGCCCACAGAGGAGACUUAUAAACCUACGAGGGCAUGUAGUUCUGGGACUAAGAGGGUAACUAAACCCUAGUCCAACUCGGUGUUAAGCCUACUCCCAACUGGAAAUGUGUACAAUACAAUAUAACUGAAAUAUACUGGAUAGCUCAAUAUUCUGACAUGCAAAUCUGAGAAUGCAACAUUUAAGACUGACAAUGUAAUAUUCAAAAACUGAAGUAUGUUUAUCUAUUUAACUGACCUAGCAAGUGUAAUUCAUGAACUAAGAGAAUCUACACAACUAGGGUUCUGAGUUUCAUGCAAGAACUAAGCAACAAUGUCACGAAAACAUGAUAAUCUGAUUGAGAACACUAUAACAACUAAAUCACAACAAUUAACUAAAGUUCUAGAAACCCUAGGUCUAAACAAGAUAUAGAUAAUCAAGAAUCUGAUUGAAUUCUAAGGACCUAGUGGCUAAAAGGAACCCACUAGUGAAAUCCCACAUACUUGGUGACGAAAUCUACGGAGAAAUCCUUCGAUUUCAAGGCUGAAAGUGAAGAAAACCUGCUACGUGUUCUUGAGGGGUUGGUCGGCUCUUUCUCCUUUUUUUCGCUCUAAGUUCUGGUGAAUUUUGGUGAAUAAAGGUUUUGGUUAUGUUUUGACUAGGUUAUUAGGCUUAAACUGAGUAAAAUGACGUAGUUAAAGCAUCAAACGACGUAGUUUAAGUUCCCAAUGCAUAAGGGAAAGGACCAAAAUGACCUUGAUUUAAUUCUGACGAAGCCCAUCCACAGAGGGAAUGACGGUCCGUCUUUUGGACUACGAUCGACGUUUGGGUUCGUCAUCACGGCUUCACUAAAACGAGCAUAACGUUUUACUCGGAGAUGUGAUUUUAGCAAACUCAGUAGCGUUGGAAAGAGGAUUCAAUUAUCUUUAAUUUGAUAGGUCAUAGGCCACCUAAUUUCUUUUGUGCUAAAAGUUAUGACCGUUUGAAGUUGAUCCAUCCUCUAACUGACUACUGACCCUCACCUACGGAUCGUACUGGUCGACCGUGGGUGGGAUCAGAGACUAUAAAGAUUUGGGCCUUAACGAAGGAACCCCACCUACGGUUUGUGGUCUUACCUACGGUCCAUGGGUGGUUCCGUUAGUACCGGCACCAGAUUUUCUGAAAACUAGGAUUUUCUUCAUUUUGAUAUUCGAGGUGUUACACCCCCCAAGGAUAGUGAGGAACCAUGGACCACUAGACAGUCCGUGGAACCCCACACGGUCCGUAAAGUAUGUCGUGGAAAUGACUCAGUGCAACCCCAACUCAUGUGAAGAACCACGGUGGCCUACACGACUCGUGGUGCUUCACUCGGUCCGUGAAAUGGACCGUGAAUGGGGCAAUUCAGCCUUCAAGUUUUGGAUCAACUUAAAACGGUCAUAAAUUUUAGCACAAAAUGAAUUAGGUGGUCCAUAACCUAUCAAAUUAAAGAUAAUUGAAUACUCUUUCAAACGCCACCGAGUUUGCUAAAAUCCAAGCUUGGAGUAAAAAGCUAUGCUCGUUUUAGUGAAGCCCUGUGGGGCAGAGCAUCUUCACGAGCUGCUAGACGGGCCUUGGUCAUCAUGACGGCUCAUGAAGCCUGUCUUGAAGACACUUCGGCAGAAUUAUGCGUUGGGCACUUAAACUACGUUGUUUGAUGCCUAAACUACGUCGCUUUACUCAGUCUAAGCCUAAUAAUCUAGUCAGAACCUACCCCAAAACCUUCAUUCUUCUAAAAUCACCCAACUUAGAGAAGAGAAAGAAGUGACCAGCUUUAUCAAGAACAAGCAGAAGCAUGCUUCGAAGUUCAGCCCCAAAAUCCAAAGGAUUUCUCCGUAGAUUUCGUCACCGGGUAUGUGAAUUUCACUAGUGUUCCUUUCACCCAUUAGGUCCCUAGAAUUCAGAUAGUUCUUCAGAUUUUCAUAAACUGUUCAGACCCAAGGUUUUUAUAUUUUCAAAAUUUAUUGUGAUUAUGGUUCUGUUGAUCUAAAUAACUUGUUUCUUGAUAAUCUUAGUAUAAUUCCAUGCAUAGCACUCAUCAUGACUCUUCAGGUAGCUGGCAUUGGUCCCCUUUUUUCAUCAUUCCUGAAGUUUAUUAAAUCAUCAAAACUUUACAUCAACAACAAAAUAGCAAACAUCAAUUAAUGCAUUAGAAGGCUCAAUUAAUCAAAAUAAAUCAUAAUUGGAAGAAACCCACAUUCCUUGUAACUUAAGGCAUAACAUUGUAAAAUAUUACUCCAUAAAUUUCAAUAGUUAAAAAGGGUAUCAUCUAAUUAAGUCAAAAUAAGUGAAGCCCACAGAUGGCAAUGAAAUAUAUAGCACAAGGAAAACAAAGCUACACUGCAAUAAUAUGAACUUGUGAGAAAAAAGAAAUGAGCUCAAAUGACUCAACUACCCUCAGCAGGCAAGCAUGCAUGUUGACCCGCUCCCUUCAUCCCAUUGUAUAUGAGUUAGUUUGAUUUGACAUAAAGUUUAAAGAAAAAAAAAUGACUUUUGAAAUUUGUGGUCUAAAAUAAGUGAUACUCCCUCCAUUCCUAUUUAUAUGUCGUAUUUACUAAAAAUAAAUGAUCAUUAAUAUUUGUCAUUUCACAAAAUCAAUGCAUAAAACUAUUAUUUCUAUUUUACCUUUUGAAAGCUAUUAACCUUGAAAGUAUUUGUUUGCCUAAAGGAUUUUUUAAUUAACACCCCCCCCCCCUUUUGACCUUCUCUUUCAUCCGAACCGAACCUCUUCAAACUACAACCUGUUUAGAAAUCAGCCCAAUCGUACCUCCUCAAACUACAACCUGUGUUACACCCCGAAGCUACCCCCAAGAUGCGGACAUGGGACCUAGGAUCACAAGUGACCCCAACCUAACCUUGAGCUGACAUAUCAUAAGCAUACUAAUAUAAACUGGAAUAAGAAGUAUUAAGCGGAAGCAUAAGACAUGAGAUAAACUGAAAAUGAUGUGGAAUACUUAUUCUAAGUCUGAAUAUAAAUCAGAGAGUUUAAUAACAAAUGAAAUAUCAAAUUCCAAGCUAAAACUGAAUCUAACUAUGUUUGAAAUAAAGCCUCUAACUGACAAGAAAUGUUGGGACAUGACCCAGCUAGAUCUAGCAAAAACUGAAACUAAAGACUAAAAGUAGAAAGGAAACAUGUCUGUAAUCCUCGGAGAAUGAGGACUCACCACUGAUGCUGCUGAGCUGAAGAUCGGGAACCAAUCUAUGCGUGAUCUAGAAACUGAGGACCUGAACCUACAUCACGAGAAGAUGUAGCACAAAGUAUGCGUCAGUACUUGAAAGGUACUGAACAUGCAUGAUAGAAUAAAGUUGAACAAUAUACAUAACUGAUCAAAACAUAUAACUGAGCAAUGAUAUAAGAUGAGCAUGAUACUAUACUGAAAGUAUUGAACAUGAUCUAACUGAAUGCAAUGACCAAGUUUAUUACAUACUGAGACUGAAAUCUGACUGUAACUGAUAACAUGGUCAAUGCAAAGAAAUCUGACUGUGGGAGCUACUAAUAACCGACAUAAAACCACAUGAGCUAAAUGUGGAGUCUGAUGUAUACACCCCAUCGAGAGGACCCAAUAUACCCUACCAUAGGUAUAAAGGCAUGACUGGCGUGAUCACUAAAUUAAUGCCCACAGAGGGGACUUACAACCUACGGAUAGCUCGGUAUUAAGCUGUCACUACCCGAGAGCACCCCCCAAGUCGUAACAUGCGUAUUCGACCUCUCGGAGGUCUCAUACAAGCCCUUAGCAUUCAUCACAUUAGAUAUGUAAAAUAGUGCGGAAUUAAAAACUCUUUAAAUAAAAUCCCAUAAGACUUAAAGGUCACUUUUAAAAACAUCAUUCAAAAGUACACAAGCGGAAUACUAAGUCUCUUAGCCAUCUUAGACAUAAACGUGAAAACAUACUAGGGACACGGCCCUUUACAAUCAAAAGAAGUCUAUUAAGUCUAUUACAAGAACCUUAUCAUAAAACUAGAAUAGAAAANNNNNNNNNNNNNNNNNNNNNNNNNNNNNNNNNNNNNNNNNNNNNNNNNNNNNNNNNNNNNNNNNNNNNNNNNNNNNNNNNNNNNNNNNNNNNNNNNNNNNNNNNNNNNNNNNNNNNNNNNNNNNNNNNNNNNNNNNNNNNNNNNNNNNNNNNNNNNNNNNNNNNNNNNNNNNNNNNNNNNNNNNNNNNNNNNNNNNNNNNNNNNNNNNNNNNNNNNNNNNNNNNNNNNNNNNNNNNNNNNNNNNNNNNNNNNNNNNNNNNNNNNNNNNNNNNNNNNNNNNNNNNNNNNNNNNNNNNNNNNNNNNNNNNNNNNNNNNNNNNNNNNNNNNNNNNNNNNNNNNNNNNNNNNNNNNNNNNNNNNNNNNNNNNNNNNNNNNNNNNNNNNNNNNNNNNNNNNNNNNNNNNNNNNNNNNNNNNNNNNNNNNNNNNNNNNNNNNNNNNNNNNNNNNNNNNNNNNNNNNNNNNNNNNNNNNNNNNNNNNNNNNNNNNNNNNNNNNNNNNNNNNNNNNNNNNNNNNNNNNNNNNNNNNNNNNNNNNNNNNNNNNNNNNNNNNNNNNNNNNNNNNNNNNNNNNNNNNNNNNNNNNNNNNNNNNNNNNNNNNNNNNNNNNNNNNNNNNNNNNNNNNNNNNNNNNNNNNNNNNNNNNNNNNNNNNNNNNNNNNNNNNNNNNNNNNNNNNNNNNNNNNNNNNNNNNNNNNNNNNNNNNNNNNNNNNNNNNNNNNNNNNNNNNNNNNNNNNNNNNNNNNNNNNNNNNNNNNNNNNNNNNNNNNNNNNNNNNNNNNNNNNNNNNNNNNNNNNNNNNNNNNNNNNNNNNNNNNNNNNNNNNNNNNNNNNNNNNNNNNNNNNNNNNNNNNNNNNNNNNNNNNNNNNNNNNNNNNNNNNNNNNNNNNNNNNNNNNNNNNNNNNNNNNNNNNNNNNNNNNNNNNNNNNNNNNNNNNNNNNNNNNNNNNNNNNNNNNNNNNNNNNNNNNNNNNNNNNNNNNNNNNNNNNNNACAUUCGUGGACGAAUGUUCCCAAGGGGGAGAUAUUGAAAUGACCCAAAAAGUUCUUAAAAAUGUGCUUCGGAAGUUACCGGAAACUUGUUUAGCUAUAUAUAAAACAAUCAUUUCGUUUUUUUGAAAAUACGACUUCAUAUUCUUGUUUAGGGGGUCAAAUUGAGUGGAAAUGGGUCUAACCCAAAUUUUAGAGCAACCGUAUCAAAAUCCGAAAUUUCCAAGUGAAGCCUUUUUUCGAGGGUCUACUUUGGAGGGUCAUAUCUCCUAGCACACAAAUUAUUGGGUGGACAAUAACAUAUCCAUGGAAAGCCCUUUGAGUUAGCUACCUAACGCACUUCGUUUCACCUCAUUCGGAGUCCGGAUGAAAAAGUUAUGCCCAUUUUCGUAAAAUCUGUCCGGCAGGAAAGACAAUUUCCAGAGAGCGUUUUUACUGUUCACCCUCCUCAUUUUUUUUUCUAAGUGUUGGACCAUUUUUCCAAAGGGCAUAUGUUUAUUUCCUAUAUACCAUUAGUUCAAUUCUCAUCUCUAAAACAUUUUCCAAAACACCUCUCCCAUACUUAGACACAAGAACAAGAUAUAACACUUCCACCUAAGGUGGAUUCAACCUACCAACAACAAUCGUCACAUAUGGACAUUUAAAGAGAACUAUACUUUCAAUUACACUACAAUAACACUUUGUACAAGAUCACCUUAUAACCAUAAGAAUACCUUCACAUAUUUACCUUCACAUAGUACUAUAACACUUCAUAACUUGAUAACACUUUAAUUCAAUAGCUAGUGCCUUCAAGGCCAUAUUCAUAAUACAAUCCAUAAUUAAACACCUCCACCAUAAGUGGAUCAAACCAAGCAAGAACAAUUAUAUCAAUAAUAUGAGAUUAAGCCAACUUACCAUCCUCCAAAGCCAUCCUCAACAUUAAUCAAUAGAUAUAGAAAAUCAUAAACAUCAACAAUACAAUCUAUUCUAAGCAUAAAUUCAUCAAUACCCAAUCAUUAUCAACAAACCCAUUUCGUAAGUCAAAUAUAGAAAUUUGUGAAAUCAAGCGUUCAUGAGAUUUUUCACUUGAAAACAUCAAUUUAAUAUCAACAAUAUCACAAUCCAUCAUUUAAAACCACUUAAUGCAAGAACCCUUGAGUAGAGUAACAAAUAGAAGUUUUUCAUAACUUUUGAGAAUUGAAAACCCUUUGAAAUUGGUUCUAAAGCGAAAACUAGCUUUAGAUAAAGAGCCACCAUACCUUAGUAUUGAGAAAACCCACAAAAAUUUGAUGCAAGAAACCUUCAAUUCGAAACCCUAGCUCCAACUUGACCUUUGCCUUCAAUGGUGUUCUAGAGAGAACCCCCCCUUUUUUUUGAAGAAUGAAUUAAAACAAACCUUUUUAAAAGUUUUAAUACCAUAUAUAGAAAUUAGAAAUAAUCUAAAAUAUACCCACUUUUUAAUUUAACUAAAAUUAAUAUUUACGAAAAUGCCCCUUGCCUACAUGGACCUACCAAAUAAAACUAAGGCAAAGUCCAAUUUUCAUUUUGGAAAAUUUCAUAACUCCAAUUUAUGCUUAAACUUAAAAAAUUCAUACGUUAGGCUCUAGUUUCACCUAUCUAUUUUUAGGGUCGUUACAUAAGCUACUCCUAAUUGAUUAUGUAAUUAACAAUUUAUGACUGAAUUCUGUAAUACUGGAUAGCUCGCUUACUGACAUGCAAACUCUAAGAAUGCAAUAAUUAUAUCUGAUAAUAUGACAUUCGUAAACUGAAGCAUAUAUAUAACUAAAAUAACUGACCUAACAUGUAUAAUUCAUGAACUAAAAUAACUACAUAGCUAGGGUUCUAAAUUCAUAAAAGAAUCUACGCAAAAUAAUACUAAAAUCAUGAUGAUCUGAUUAGGAACAUUAAAGUAACUAUUUCAUAAUAAUCUACUAAAUUUCUAGAAACCCUAGGUGGUCUAGAUAAUUUGAAGGAAAUCAAGAAUAUGACUGAAUUCUAGGGACCCAAUGGGUGAAAGGAACCCACCAGUGAAAUCUCACAUACCUGAUGACAACUUUCACGAAGAAAUCUUUCGAUUUCAGGGCUGAAACUAAUGAAAACCUGUUGCGUUCUUGGAGAGGGGUUGGUCGACUCUUUCUUCUCUCUGCGUGCUAAGUUUUCUAAAUUUUGGUGAAUGAUUUGCUUAGGGUAGAUUCUAAUUAAGUUACUAGGCUAAAACUGACCAAAACCACGUAGUUUAAGGGUUAAACAAUGUAGUUUAGGGGUCCAAUGCAUAAUGAAAAGACCAAACGACCCCUGACUUAAAAACUGUCGGGAACUUCCCUGGACCAUAGACUGUGGCCUGACCUACUGUCCGUAGGUCCUCGCAUAUGUCUGGACUUAGAAUAAUUUUCUGGGCUUUUCUGGGGAGGGUUGCAGAUGGUGAACCACGAACCACCAGGACGGACCGUGGGUCACCCUACGGUCCGUAGGUGACAACCGUGGGUUGCACCUGCAACUUCUAAAAUUUGCAUUUUGGUAGUUUUACAAUACGGGGUGUUACAAUCUAAAUAGAAAUCAGCCCAACCUAACAAUUUUACAAUAUACAGUUCACAAGGCUUAACACUCACAGACCAAUAGUCACAGUUCAACAACCAAUAAGCUUCAAGUAUAUCAAUCACACAUAUCAAGUAGGUCAUUCACACAUAUCAAGUAGAUUAAUCACAAGUGUCUAGUAGAUCAAUCACAAGUAUCAAAAUUCAUCAAAUUAGAAUAAUCAAACUCUUGCCGAAACCAUUUCCCUUCGAUACAAUAUCACUAGACGGAACCAUUUCCCUUUGACUUUAUAUCAUAACAUUGUAAAAUAUUACUCCAUAAAUUUCAAUAGUUAAAAAGGUGGCAUGUAAGUCAAAAUAAGUGAAGCCCACAGUGGGCAAUGAAAUAUACUUUGAAGGUCUAAAAAACGUCUUUACAGUAGAAGGAAAACAAAGCUGCAAUAAUAUGAACCAAUGAAAAAAAAAAAUUAGCUCAAAAGACUCAACUACCCUCGGCAGGCAAGCAGGCAUGUUGACCUGUUGUUUGCAUGAGCUGGUGAAACUCCCUUUUAUAAUAAAGUACUAGAUUUUGUUGCCCGUGCUAUGCACGGGCCCAAUAACAUAAAUGGUAUGUUUUGGGGCUAAUAACGAAAUUUUUGAAGCGAUUGUUUGCGUGGAUAAAGGAAUAAGUUUUUUUAUCACAAACCUGUACUUUCUUUGACGCUAUUCAAGGCACAAUAAGACUACCCACAUACAACAUUUUUGAACAAUUUUAUGUUGUCAAUUAUCACGAUUUAAUUUUAAGAAUCAGUCAAUUUUUUUUUCUGUUUUUUUAAUAAAUAUUUUAAGUUGUCAAUUAUCACGAUUUAUUGUAUUUUAUACAUAAUUUUUAACGAUAGAUUAAUUUCAAGAAUCAAUCGAAUUUUUUUAAAUGUAUUUAUUUUUGAAAUAUUUUAUGUUGUCAAUUAUCAUGAUUUAUAGUAUUUUUACGCAAUUUUUAAAUAUAAAAAAUUUAAAAAAAAUAAGACAAAUAAAUUAAAAUGGACCCAAUAUAUGUUAUUUUUGUUGUCUCAAUUUAUGUGACACAAAUGAAAUUUGGAGAGUCAUUGAAUAUUAUAUAUUAUACUUGGGCAUAAACUCUCUUACGCACGGGCCCAAUAACUAUUAUUUUUUGUCCUAAUGUAUGUGACACAGAUAAAAUAUAGUGAGUUAUUUAAAUUUAAUAUGAUUUUUAAAUAUUUUAAGUUGUUAAUAAUGUAAUUUAUAAUAUUUUUACGUAAUUUGUAAAUACUUAAUAUAUAUUACUCCACUUGUCUCAAUGUAUGUAGCAUAGAUAAAAUUUCAAGAGUUAAUCAAAUGUUGUUAAUUGUUAAGACUUACAAUACAUUUUACGUAGCUUUCAGUAAUUUGACAUUAAAUAAUACAUAUUACUACUUUUGUCUCAUUUUAUGUGACAUUGAUAGAUUAAUUUUAAGAAUCAGUUAAUUUCUUUUUUUGUGCAUUUUUAAUAAAUAUUUUAAGUUGUCAAUUAUCACGAUUUAUUGUAUUUUAUACAUAAUUUUUAACGAUAGAUUAAUUUCAAGAAUCAAUCGAAUUUUUUUAAAUGUAUUUAUUUUUGAAAUAUUUUAUGUUGUCAAUUAUCAUGAUUUAUAGUAUUUUUACGAUAGAUUAACUUCAAGAAUCAAUGGAAUUUUUUGUAUCUUUUUCAAAACAUAUUUUAUGUUGUCAAUUAUCAUGAUUUAUAGUAUUUUUACGAUAGAUUAACUUCAAGAAUCAAUGGAAUUUUUGUAUCUUUUUCAAAACAUAUUUUAUGUUGUCAAUUAUCAUGAUUUAUAGUAUUUUUACGCAAUUUGUAAAUAUAAAAAAAAAAUUAAGACAAAUAAAUUAAAAUGGACGAAAUAUAUGCUAUUUUUGUUGUCUCAAUUUAUGUGACACAAAUGAAAUUUGGAGAGUCAUUGAAUAUUAUAUAUUAUACUUGGGCAUAAACUCUCUUACGCACGGGCCCAAUAACUAUUAUUUUUUGUCCUAAUGUAUGUGACACAGAUAAAAUAUAGUGAGUUAUUUAAAUUUAAUAUGAUUUUUAAAUAUUUUAAGUUGUUAAUAAUGUAAUUUAUAAUAUUUUUACGUAAUUUGUAAAUACUUAAUAUAUAUUACUCCACUUGUCUCAAUGUAUGUAGCAUAGAUAAAAUUUCAAGAGUUAAUCAAAUGUUGUUAAUUGUUAAGAUUUACAAUACAUUUUACGUAGCUUUCAGUAAUUUGACAUUAAAUAAUACAUAUUACUACUUUUGUCUCAUUUUAUGUGACAUUGAUAGAUUAAUUUUAAGAAUCAGUUAAUUUCUUUUUUUGUGCAUUUUUAAUAAAUAUUUUAAGUUGUCAAUUAUCACGAUUUAUUGUAUUUUAUACAUAAAUUUUAACGAUAGAUUAAUUUCAAGAAUCAAUCGAAUUUUUUUAAAUGUAUUUAUUUUUGAAAUAUUUUAUGUUGUCAAUUAUCAUGAUUUAUAGUAUUCAAAGCUAGAAAAGGAAAAAAUAUAUAUAUACUCCCCUUGUCCCAUUAUGUAUGAGUAAGUUUGAUUUAACACAAAAUUUAAGGAAAAAAAAGACUUUUGAAAUAUAUGGUCUAACAUAAGUGAUACUCUCUUUGUUCCUAUUUAUAUGUCGUCCUUACUAAAAAUAGAUGGUCUUUAAUAUUUGUCAUUUCACAAAAUGAAUACAUAAAAAAUAUUAUUCUUUCUAUUUUACCCUUUGAAAGUUAUUAACCUUGAAAGUAUACAUUUAUCCAACAUAGAAAAACUAAGUGAUUAAUUUAUUUUUAUUGGUCAAAGUAGUUAAUCAAAGUAAAUUAAUUUAUGUUCAUUUUUUGAAAACUUAACUUCAAGAGAAUACAAAAUAAGGGUACAAUGACAAACUUACUUAGUUUCUUAAAGGGUGUGAAACCUAAAACGGUGACAACUGGAUAGGAAUGGAGGAAGUAGAUGUCUAUGUGACUGUACAUCAUUUCACUAAGGAUAAAAUGAAUAUUUUAAAAUUAAAUUAUCGCUAAAUAUAGAAAUGUGUUAUUUUUUUAGACCGACUAAAAAAGUAAAUGAAUCGUAUAAAUUAGGCAUAAUACAUAAAUAUGUCAUUUAACUUAGCCUCAUUUCACAUUUAUACCUCCAACUUUAAGUGUGCACAAAUAGACACUUAAACUUGUGUAAAGUUGAACAAGUAGACACAUGAGUUCUAUGUGGCAUAAUACACACAAUUUGCCAUGUAGGAUGCGUGUCUAUUUGUUUAAUUUUAUACAAGUUUGAGUGUCUAUUAAUUGUGCAUUCUCAAAGUUAGAGGGCAUAAAUGUAAAAUGAGGUAAAGUUAAAGGACAUAUUUAUAUAUUAUGCUUAUAAAUAUAGGGUAGAGGGAGUAGUAGAUUUCAAAUUGGUAAUAUGGCAAUCAUGAUAUAUUGGAUAGGAUAUUUAUUAAAUAAGUUACAAAUUCUAUUUUUUUACAUAAAAAAAUAUUCCUCUGAGUUGGGGUAGCUUGCUAUCACUUAAUAAAAUGUUUCUUUGAUAUGUAUUAUAAGGAAAUAGGAAGAGCACAUGAACAUAUUAAUUAAGAAUUGAAUAAUAAUCAAAGAUCGAAUUUUAACAUACCUUAGGAGUAGAUUAGAACUAGAAGCUCAUAAUUUCCCAAGCUCUCUUGCUCUUGUUGAAUUCUCUUUGCACUAUUUACUACAGAAGAGCAGCAACGUUUUAUUUUGAUGAAUUUUAGUGUCAUUAUAUCUCCAAUACUCUCCGGAAUCUCCUCCAGUUGAAUAACCCAAUGCAGUAUUAAUUGCUCAAGCAUCGGAAAAUUAUCACUACCAGCUGCUUCCCACCUUUUCAGAUCAUAGUUCCCAUACAGUUGUAGAUAUUUUAAUUUAUGAAACACAACAUCUUCAUCUACUUUCCAAUCUGUUCCAGCAAAUGCAAAAUUCCCUUUGAGCACCUCAAGAUUCGGUAAAUUAGCCAGCAAAUUCACAACUUCCCAUGGUAUACGAGUACGUGUUAAUGUCAACUUCUUGAGAUUAGGAAGAAAAAUAUCUCCUGAGAUAAUCAUCGGAUCAAUGUUUUCUUGUGUUUCUAUGUGUAGUGUCUCCAGAUCCUGUAACAUACUGAGAGAAUCAAGAAAAUCAGGAUGCUUAGAUCUAUUUAAAAUCUUAAGCUUUUUUAGAUUGGGAGUUCUUCUUAUGAUUUCCGCAACAAAAGGAGAGUUACGGAGAUAAAGUGUUUGCAAGUUAUUCAGAAGGCACAAAGGUUGUUCUGCUUCAUCAGGAUUUGAUAUAUAUAGUGGAAUAUCAAUAUCCAAAUGUCUUAUCUCUGACAUUCUCCAGAUAUCUAGUGGCUGCUUCAAUGUUGUUGGUCCGAGAUAGACAUGCCUUCGAAUAAUUAUGGUCUGUAGAUUUCUCAUUUUGGCUAGUGAAAGAGCUUCCUCAAUUCUUACAGCAACAUAUCUCAAAUGUACAAGUUCAGGUAUUACACAAGAGAAAUCGUACAGGACUGGUAACACGUCCAAUACCUUAAGCAACUUGAACUGUGAAACAAUGGAACACAUCCGUGUUGGAAAAUGUACUUGCAUUGAAAUAAAGGUGCGGAUAAUACCACUGCUAUGUUGCAUACCAUAAUCAUGCUUCUCUUCAACUUCAGACAGAAGGAUCAUUCGAUGUUGAUCAUUCCCAUUCAUGACAUGCACAACACUUUUCGUAUGAGCUUCACUUAUGCAUAGUUGGCGAAGAAGAUCAUGAAUUUUGCAAGUUUUCAUCCUUCCAGUAAGACUAUGUGUACCAGUCAAAAUUAGACUUCUAUCAAUUAACUCUUGUACAUACUCCUCUGCCACCACUUCUAACCUUGUAUUGCUUCUUGCCUUUACGAAUUGCUCAGCAAUCCAUAGCCUAAUCAACUUGGAAACAUCAAUCUCUCUGUCUUCUGGAAAAAAUCCAAUGUAGAGAAAACAAUCCCUCAAAUAUUGGGGCAAGUAGUUGUAGCUCAAAGAAAGAAUUGAUUGGCAUCGUUCGGUUACUGUACCAAAGAAUGACUUCAGAUUUUCCUCAACCUCCUUCCAAUUGUCAUGCGUUAAGUCCAUUUUUACAAAAAGUCCAGCAACAACAACAAUAGAGAGAGGUAAUCCUUGACAUUGUCGUACAAUAUGCUUCCCUAUUUCUACAAGUAAAGGAGGACACGGAUCGUUUUUGAAUAAUUUUUCGGUGAAUAGAUUCCAACUAUCAUUUUGACUUAGAAAAGACUUGCGAUGAGGUGGAAAAUCAGGACAACUGACAUAAUCAGCAACAUACUUGAGCCGAGUGGUUAAUAGAAUUCGGCUUCUAUUGUCAUCAUUUGGAAAUGUUCUUUGCAUUUGGUCCCAAGCCUUUGUACUCCAAAUAUCAUCUAUGACAAUCAGAAAUCUCCUACCCUUAAGACCUCUAUACACAAUCUCCAUUAGUUCAUCAUCGCUUGUUUCUUGCUUGCUUCCAGUAAUUGAAGAGACAAGUUCAAGAGCAUUUGUCUCUCAUUGUAUUCUUCAGAGAUAGUGACCCAUGCUUGUUAUCAAAUCGAGAACGAAUGUAUGAAUCAUCAUAAACUUUUCUGGCAAGAGUUGUCUUACCUAUACCGCCCAUACCAAAAAUUGGUAUGACAGUUAACUCGUCUGUUUGGGUAGUAACGCGAUCAAGUAUUAUGUUGAAGUCAUCCUCCAUCCCAACAAAAGAAUUUUCCUCAAUUGUACUUUUUUCUAGCGAGGAGGAAAUUCUUGCUAAUUCUGCAGAUUUGCUUCCAUGGUUGUUAAACUCGAUCAACAUCACCUCUUUGUUGAGAAAAUAAACUUGUUGUUCCACUUUCAACAAUUCUUCAUAAAAGGAUUUACAAGCCUUUUGCCGAUUGACCUCGUGAUCUGCUAGAAUGAUGCUUCUUAGACUUGAAUCAAUUCUAUCUUCUGCUUUGUAAACUACAUUUCUGAUCCUCUUUUCUACAACCUUGAAAUUGAAAAUCGAUAAAUUAAUUAUUAUUAAAAAGAAUAUAUAUAACAUCAGUAAGAUUUAAUGAAUUGCAUAUAUACCUUAAGAGUUUCAAUAUCCUUUGUGGUAGUAUCGUCGAGGAAAUCUUGCAGAGCAGAAAGAUUUUGACAGAGAGAUUCGAGAUGUUGUUGUGUACAGCAUGGACAAACGAAAGAUUGAUUAGGUUUCAAGAGUUGGUUCAAUGUAUACAUAAGUGAAGAAAUAGCAGCAUAAGCCAUUUCUCUUGCAGGGAAGAAAGAGUCAAUAGAGAGGAUAACAAUUAUUGCAAUUUGCAGAUUUAAUGUCUCUGCUUUGUUAUUAUUAGGCUAAGAGGUUUUGUCCAAAUGAUUUUUUUAUUUUUCUAAAUGGGGGACACCAUUUGUUUAUAUGAGUAAUUAAAAGAGAUGAUGGAUGAUAACGCAGUCAAAUGAGAUGCUCAAUGGGGUAUUUCUUUUCUAUUUUUAUAAUUGAGAAACAAGGUAUAGCGCACUAAACUUUUGUCAUAAUCUUUAAUUAAACAAUUGAUGGGUUUGUUGACAAAUGAUGACACAAUGGUUUACACUACUACUAUUAAUCAGCCUAAGAAGGAUUAUUCAUCUGUUUUAUCUUUUUUGACAUGCAAUUAAUUAAUCGAGAUGUGUUUAAGCUAAUCAAAGACACGAGCAACAAUUAUCAAGAAACAAAGAGAUACCUUUGCAAAUGUGAGAACUUUUAACUGAGAGAACUAUGUAAAUCUAAGUUGUUUUUCAAAUAUCAUUUAUUCAUAUGCAUAUCAUAUCAUAUAUAUAUAUCAUAUAUUAUUAUAAGUGGGAAGAGCUUAACCUCAAGAGUUGAAUUACGAAAAUAACCCUAUAUUAAAUUAAAAAAGUAAUAAAAAUUAAUUAAUUAAAUAAUAAUCAUAUAUCAUAUUAUUAUAUUAUUAUACUAAUGCUAAUCAUCAUAUACCUACUUGUUUGUUUUCUCCGUUUGUUGGCUUCUCAUUUCCUUCCUAAUCUUAAUUAUUCUCUCUCUACUUAUAAAUAUUCACUUAUUGUUAUAAUAAUUAUAAUAAAGAAGGGGAAUGAAGAGUUGCAAGGUAAUUAAUUAUGAGAGAAAUGUUCACUUUAUUGCUAUAUAAUUAUGAUAAUAAAAUAUAAAGAGAAUGAAGAGUUGCAAGGGUAAUAAAUUUGGAGAGCUAUAUAUAAUAUUUGUGUAGCAAAGAGGUGGCCAGCCGAUGGUCAUUAUUUUUGCAAAAAUGCAUGAUUAUUAAAUAAAAUUUUCAUUUUUCUCUAAAUACAUUAGUUGAUUACUUAUUACUUUCAUUGUAUUUUUUUGCUUUUUACAGAAGAAAAAUGUGUAUAAGUUCUAAAAGUUCAUACGGAGCAUGCAAUGAUGGAAAUGGAUAUUGNNNNNNNNNNNNNNNNNNNNNNNNNNNNNNNNNNNNNNNNNNNNNNNNNNNNNNNNNNNNNNNNNNNNNNNNNNNNNNNNNNNNNNNNNNNNNNNNNNNNNNNNNNNNNNNNNNNNNNNNNNNNNNNNNNNNNNNNNNNNNNNNNNNNNNNNNNNNNNNNNNNNNNNNNNNNNNNNNNNNNNNNNNNNNNNNNNNNNNNNNNNNNNNNNNNNNNNNNNNNNNNNNNNNNNNNNNNNNNNNNNNNNNNNNNNNNNNNNNNNNNNNNNNNNNNNNNNNNNNNNNNNNNNNNNNNNNNNNNNNNNNNNNNNNNNNNNNNNNNNNNNNNNNNNNNNNNNNNNNNNNNNNNNNNNNNNNNNNNNNNNNNNNNNNNNNNNNNNNNNNNNNNNNNNNNNNNNNNNNNNNNNNNNNNNNNNNNNNNNNNNNNNNNNNNNNNNNNNNNNNNNNNNNNNNNNNNNNNNNNNNNNNNNNNNNNNNNNNNNNNNNNNNNNNNNNNNNNNNNNNNNNNNNNNNNNNNNNNNNNNNNNNNNNNNNNNNNNNNNNNNNNNNNNNNNNNNNNNNNNNNNNNNNNNNNNNNNNNNNNNNNNNNNNNNNNNNNNNNNNNNNNNNNNNNNNNNNNNNNNNNNNNNNNNNNNNNNNNNNNNNNNNNNNNNNNNNNNNNNNNNNNNNNNNNNNNNNNNNNNNNNNNNNNNNNNNNNNNNNNNNNNNNNNNNNNNNNNNNUUCUUUUUAUGUUUUCAAAUUGGAUAUGGGAUCUACGUGUGAAGUGCGUAAUGAGAGAUUAUUGAGGAUAAGUUAUAUCGACAUAUUCAUACCAUUACAUGUUAUAUUAUCUUAAUUAGCUUCACAUUUCUUGCUUGAUGGCAAAUGCAACAUUCCACUAUUAUGAUUAAAAAAAAAAACAUUCCACUAUUAUGAAUUUUAUUUAAUGAAUAUGAUGUAAAUGAUAAAGUUAAUAUUGUUAAUUUCAAUAUUUUCUAUAUAAUAAUUCAAUAAUAUGGGAUAAACGUGCAACGCACAUUCCUAAGGACUAGUAUUACUAAAAGUGGGAAAAAAAGUUGAAAAUUGAAGUACUAUUUUACCCCUACACUAGAUUAAAAUAUAAUAUUUAGUUAAUUGUAGAGAAACUACAAGAUUUUUCUUGUCGCAACCAUGUCCAACAGGCAGUAAACUGUGUUGACACAAUAUACAAAGCUUGGUAUGAAGCUCUUGAUUUUUCCCACAAGGGACUUGCAGGUGUUUGCCAUCAAAUGCACUUCGUCCAUCUUAAAGUCAAUGUAACUGCACCUAGAUUACCAAUGUUUUCGUUGGCGAGAUCUCUUGACUUGAACAUUGAGGACAAGGUUCUUAUUGAGGACGGGAGUAUUGUUAUGAAUCAGCCCCAGCCCAAUAGGGAUACCAACAAGGAUAUCACACAAAUAGAUAUUGGGCCGAGUAAAAGCAAUCGGGCCAGGCCUUCACAAAGGAUUGUUUGGGAUCCAGGCCCAUUUACACUUUGUUAAAAAGGGCAAAUGAGUUGGAAAGAAGGGUUAUGCAAAUUGCUAAAGAAAAGAGUGUUUCCUCUCAUCUCCCUUCUUAGUCUAAGCUUCUCAUCCCCUUCUAUCCAUCUAUCAAUUCCCUAGUUCUUAUGUUUAGUGUCUCUACGAUUCUGUUUGGGUUUUUGCUGUUUGCGUUGUUGCAUUUACUUUGUGGAUUUGUAAUUGAACUCUAGUCUUGUUAAUAUAGUUGAGAAGUUUGUUACUAGUACAAUUGGAUUUGACUUCAUUACAGUAUUACAUGCAUAUGAUAUUUAUGACUGAAACCUAAAUGUAAAUGCAAUUUCUGGUAAUAUUGUUAUUAUAUUAAUAUUAUUUAUGUGUAACUUUUAAAUGUAACUAGGAUACAAGAGAACUUAUGUUAUAUUUCUUACCCAUAUAUAAAACAAUAUACAUAAUAAUCUUUUAAAUUGCGCUUAUGUGUUAUAUUUCAUAAAGAGUAAUAGGACUAUAUAUUGACAUUAUUCAAAUUAUAUAUUUUUUUCCAGAUUCAAAGAUGGAUGAGCUCAUAUUUUUUUUAGUCAGACAAUGCAUACAUCUACUUAAAACUAAUUAACAUUUGUAUAUAUAUACGUAAAUUAUAUGAUAUAGUAAUAGUAUAUUAAAUCUCUUUCACAAACAAGUACUUUAUUUAUGCAUGUACACAAUAUAAUUAAGUAUAAUUCACUUGACAUAUUAAAGAAGAGAUAUAAAUCAAUUUAAUUUUAUAAAUUGCUACUUUUAUUCAAUAAUAAUUUCUUGACAUGUACAUAACUUUAAAUAGACUAAGGCAUUGCUUUCUUAAAGACAAGUCAACUUUGCUACUUUCAAUUUAUUUAUUUUUUUAGCAAUUUUUAGUUUCUUUUCUUUUCAAGUUGUAGCAUUCUUUCAUUUAAAUUUUGAUAAUUAGUAUCCAAGUUUGUAGGUGGGUUCUUUCAAUUGUGAGAGCAACGAGUAGAUAAAAAAUAAACGUAAUCUAAUUACCAAUUAUCUUUCAUUUCACCAAUAUAUUGAUAUCGGUUGGAUAAAUAAUUGUUGGAGUAAUGAGGACAAACUUGAUUUCCUAGAGAGGAAACUUUUAUAUCGUCUCUUUUACUUAGGAAAUUAAAGCUAUUUUUAAAAAUAAAUUCGUCAAAUUUUGGUCUUUAUAUCAUUUUUUCAUUUCAACAUUAAAAUGACACAAUUUAUAUAUGAUAUUUCAUAAUAUAAUUUAACAAUAAUUUAUUUGGUCAAAUAUAUAGAUGACAACUAAUAAUUUUGAAUCGGACAAAGGAAAUAAAAGGUACAAACAAAAUUAUGAUUUAUAUAAUUGUUGAUCGAAUUUCUAUACAACUUUUACAAAACACUACUCUCAUUCGCCAACAACUUUUUAAUAUAUGCACAAAUAUAAAAAGGUGGAGACUAAAUUUCGUAGAAAGAAGAUGAAAAACUCAAGACAAGAAAUAUUUUGAAAUCUCACUUGACGUAUAAAUUACGAUUUAUGUCAUAUUAAACAAUGGGAACUUUUGUAAAGUUUAAUAUUUCAUAUAUUAUAAGAAUUGCAUAAUUGAAGUUUGUUCUAAUAUUCCUUUUGAGAUUCACUCAACCACAAUAUUUCAGUAUGUGGAUGUAUCUCGUAUUGAUAAUAAUAUCGGUUAAAUAAACUUAUCAUUCAUCGAUUUGAGCUUGUAUUUUUAUCUUUAAUAUUUUUGCAACUUAUCUCACGCUUAUUAAAAUAUUUUCAAAGUAUUUGUAUAACUCCACCCAACUUAGUAUGGGACACAUGUGCAACGCACGUUCCCAGGACUAGUAUUAUUAUAAGUGGGAAAAUUUAACUUCAAAGUUGGAUUACAUUUUACCCCUUCACUAAAUUUAAAUAUUGUUAAUAAACUAAUUAAUAAAGUUUAAAUAUAAAUAUAUGGUAUUGAUCCAUUAUAUUUCUAGAUAGAAUUAAUUCACGGAAUAUUUAAUUUGUUUUCAUUCUAAAAUGGAGUUUGGAAGAUGAAGUGUUUCGUAACAACAAAAGGCAAUAAAUUAUAUCCUUCAAAAUCUGAAAUAUCCUUUAACAUUAAAGAACAAAAAUAUCCUUUUAAUUACCAUACAUCUUAAUAUGACACACAUAUACAAAUUUUAGUUAGAAACCUUACAUAUCCCAACUUGAACCAAUCAAAUUUUGAUAGAUGUUACGUAUAUCAUCAAUUUUUCUAAAUGGGCUUAGAGGUUUUGUCCAAAUGAUUUUUUUUUUCUAAAUGGGGGACACCAUUUGUUUAUAAUAAUUAAAAGAGAUGAUGGAUGAGAACACAAUCAAAUGAGAUGCUCAAUGGGGUAUUUCUUUUCUAUUUUAUAAUUGUGAAACAAGGUGUACCGCACUAAACUUUUGUCAUUAUCUUUAAUUAAACAACUGAUGGGUUUGUUGACAAAUGAUGACACAAUGGUUUAUUUACACUACUACUAUUAAUCAGCCUAAGAAGGAUUAUUCAUCUGUUUUGUCUUCUUUGACAACUACAAUUAAUUAAUCGAGAUGCAUUUAAGCUAAUCAAGACACAAGCAGAAAUUAUCAAGAAACAAAGAGAUACCUUUGCAAAUGUGAGAGCUUUUAAACUGAGAGAAUUGUGUAACUCUCAAUUUAAAGCUGUUUUUCAAACUAUUAUUCAAAACAAACAAAGGCCAACACACUCGUAUUCCUUCUUUUAUUGGUAAAUGUUUUUCAACUUCUUAUUUAUUGUACUCCCUCACAUUCAUAUUAAGCGAAUUGUUCGUCAAUUGACAAUAAAUAUGUGUUAAUCAAUAAAUAUAAUUUUUUAAAAUUAUAAUUUUAUUUGGAUUAAAUAUGAGCCCACAGUGGGCAAUGCAAUAUGGGCUAACAAUGUCUUUACAGUAGAAGGAAAACAAAGCUGCAAUAAUAUGAACCAAUGAGAAAAAGAAAUCACGUCAAAUGACUUAACUACCCUCAGCAGGCAAGCAGGCAUAUUGACCUGCUGCUUGCUUGAGCUAAAUGCACACAUUCAGUCUACAGAGAAAGUCUCUCUCACACACACACACACAUUUCGUUUAAAUGUUAUAUGUAUAUAUAUAUAGUUGACAAUCAUCUGUGGCUGCAUCAUUUAUAUCUUGCACUAUUUACGUAGUGGUGCAUCUUCCCUGCUUUCCUGCAGUGUUUAGUCAGAGCUUAAGAAGAAGUACCUGCGGAAGAAGAGGGAAAAUUAUUAAUUCUAGAAGUGAUUAGAAGCUAAGUUGAUUAAAAUGAAGUUAGUUGUAACAGAAUAUUCUGUAAGAGUUAGUUACUAGAACAGAGUUAGUUACAAAACGUGUUGUAUAAAUAAGCUGUAAAUGUAUGAUGUGUGAUAUAUGAAAACAUUCUCUCUUCUUCCUCUUCUGAAAAUUCUCUCUGUACUGCUAUGAACAAAUUCAUCAAUAUGAAUUAACAUGGUAUCAAAGCCCAGAUCGUGAGGGUCGAUCUGCGUAUAAGAAGAUAAGAAUAGAUACUGAGAAGAAGUAGUAAAGAAAACUUCUGAGGAGGCGUCAAUGGCGAUUGAUGAAGCAGCGUCAAUGGCAACAAAUGAAGUCACAUCCCUGAAUCACAAUCAUCCACUAUAUCUCCAAGCAUCAGAUGCACCUGGAGUGAUCUUAAUCCCAAUCAAGUUGACAGGACCAGAAAACUAUGCCUUGUGGAGUAGAUCCAUGAAAUUGGCCUUAAGAGGAAAAGGAAAACUUGGAUUCAUUGAUGGAUCCUGUAUGAAGGCAGCUUACAAAGGAGCACUGGAGGAACAAUGGGAGAAGUGUAAUGCGAUCAUAUUAUCGUGGAUUGCGAGCACUGUUACUAGCGAAUUGCUGUCAGGGAUCGUCUAUGCUUCAAAUGCAAAAAGAGUUUGGGCAGAUUUUGAAGAAAGGUUUGAUAGAUCGGAUCUCACUCGAAUUUACCAUUUGUGGUCUGAAAUUGCAGCUCUCAAGCAAGGUACUGAUUCUGUAACUUCAUACUAUUCGAAACUUAGGGAUUUAUGGGCUGAAUUAGAAGUAAUGAUUCCAUCUCCAAGUUGUAGUUGUGAUGAUUCAGCUGCAUAUGUAAACCACUUAAGAUCACAGAGACUUCUUCAAUUUCUAAUGGGAUUAAAUGAGAGUUUUAGCAACAUUAGGAGUAAUAUUUUAGCCAGGAAGCCAAUGGUGACUGUGAAUGAGGCAUAUGCAGUAGCAGCACAAGAAGAAAGCCAAAGAACAUUAGGAGUUUCAGAUAGGAACAGAGAUCCUUUAACACUUUUAGCAGGAAGAAAUCAAUCAAAUACUCCAAGGCCAAAGAAGUUUGUGCCUCCUGGAACAGUGUGUGAUCACUGUGGCUUCAAAGGUCACUAUAAAAUUGAUUGUUAUAGACUGGUUGGUUAUCCGCCAGGUUUCCAAAGCAAAAGAAAAGGAGUUGAAGGUUACAAGACUGAUUCCAGAGCAGCUGAGGGUUUUAAGCCGGAUUUCAAACCAAAUGCACAUUUAACAAGGAGUGCUGAUAAUUUCAGUGAAAGAGGAAUGCAUACUGAAAGCCACAUGACACCACCUCAGUAUCAGGAUUUGGUAAACAAGAUGGAUAGAGCAGGAACAUCAAAUUAUGCUGCUAAUGUGUCAGGUAAUACUCCUACUAUAGAUAAUGUUCAUGAGUGGAUAGUUGAUAGUGGGGCUACACAUCAUAUUACACCUAAUGAGGAUUUGCUAACUGUUGUUAGAAGAAUGAAAGGGAAUAACACUGAUGGAUUACAGGUUCCAACAGGUAAUAGAUGUGAUAUCAAAGGGGUUGGAACUGCACAGAUCUUAGAGGAUCAUGAACUCAGAAAUAUCUUACAUGUGCCAGACUUCAAAUUUAGCUUGUUGUCAGUCUCAAAAUUGACCAGGGAACUUUCUUGUUCCAUUUCCUUCUUCCCUGAUUUUUGUGUCUUUCAGGGACUCUACGAUGGCAAGGUGUUGGGGAUUGGUAAGGAGAAGGAAGGAUUAUACAUACUAAAGAAACAAAUAAAACCAUCUAUUCAGGCAAUGACUACUGCAAAUGUUCAUGAAGAAGCAAGACUGUGGCAUUUGAGGCUGGGGCAUGCCUCAACUGGAAUCCUUCAACACAUUCAUUCACUCAAACAUCUCUCAGACAAGAGUACACAACAUCAGUGUGAGAUCUGUCCUCUAGCAAAACAGUGUAGAUUGCAAUUUCCUGUUAGUAACAGUAAGACUCUUAAAGCAUUUGAAUUAAUCCAUGUGGAUGUUUGGGGGCCAUAUAAGAAGCCUACUUUUGAUAAGAAACACUAUUUUGUUACCAUUGUGGAUGACUAUAGUAGAUACACAUGGUUAUGCCUUAUUCAUUCUAAAAGUGAGGUCAUUGUAGUUCUCAAAGAGUUCAUUGCUUUAAUACAAAAUCAGUUUGCUUUGUCUGUGAAAAUCUUAAGAUCUGAUAAUGGCACAGAGUUUUUUAACUCCUCAGUCCAUGAUUUACUUGCUUCUCAAGGUAUUAUUCAUCAAAGUAGUUGUGCCUACACCCCUCAACAAAAUGGUAAAGUAGAAAGAAAACACAGACACAUCUUGGAAAUGGCCAGAGCCUUGAGGUUUCAAAGCUCUCUUCCUAUUCAUUUUUGGGGUGAAUGUGUUAGGACAGCUGUGUACUUGAUUAAUAAAUUGCCUACUGAGGUGCUUGGGGGAAAAUCACCUUAUGAGAUGUUGUUGCAGAAAGUUCCUCGCCUUGAUCAUUUAAGAGUAUUUGGAUGCUUAUGUUAUGCUGCUCAGUUGCCAAAAGGAGACAAGUUUGCUCCUAGAGCUAGAAAGGCUGUCUUUCUAGGUUAUUCUGAAACCAAAAAGGGAUAUAGAUUGUAUGAUCUGGUUGAUAAUGUAUUUUUCGUAAGCAGAGAUGUCACAUUUAGGGAAUAUAUUUUUCCUUACCAGGAAAAUUCCUCCUCAAAUGAACCUGACAUGUUUGAGUUAGUCCACUCAGAAUUGAUAUCUCAUCCUUUCACUAAUGCUGCUGAUCAUCCUACUGAGUGCAAUAUUGCUCCUGUUUCUAAUCACAGUACUGAGAGUAGUGAUGUUUCAAUGCCUGACGAUCUCACCACAACUGAUGAAGUUGAGACUUCCCAGUCUGCAGCAGUGCCCAUUCAACUCAAUCAUCAGUCUAAGUCAAGACCUUCUAGAACUGUUAAGCCUCCUAGUUGGCUUAAUGAUUACAUAACCACUGCUAAACCAUCUGCAAGUUGUUCCUAUCCUAUUUCUGAUUGCCUUCAAUACUCUCAUUUACCGACAUCUUAUCAGGCCUACUUAGGAUCCUUCUCCCCUCAAAAUGAACCAAAAUCCUUCAAAGAGGCAUCUCAAGAUGAUAAAUGGAUUGCAGCUAUGACUGAUGAAAUUUGUGCCUUGGAAAGUAACCAGACUUGGGAGGUAGUUGCCUUACCAUCAGGUAAACAAGCUAUUGGUUCUAAAUGGGUAUUUAAGAUCAAACAUAAAGCUGAUGGUUCUGUAGACAAGUACAAGGCUAGGUUGGUAGCCAAAGGAUACACUCAAAAGGAAGGAUUAGACUACCAUGAGACCUUCUCACCUGUUGCAAAAAUGGUGACCGUACGGACUCUCAUUAGCAUUGCAGCUUCUAAGGACUGGCCUCUGUUACAAAUGGAUGUCAAUAAUGCUUUCCUACAAGGUGAUUUACAUGAAGAAGUAUAUAUGUCUUUACCUCAGGGUUUUCACAGACAGGGGGAGACUAGAGUAUGCAAACUGUUGAAAUCUUUAUAUGGCUUGAAGCAAGCUUCUAGACAGUGGAAUAUCAAAUUGACUACUGUUUUAUUGGAAGCAGGGUACACACAGAGCUCACAUGAUCAUUCACUAUUCAUUAAACAAUCUGACAGUGAUAUUGUUAUAGUCCUCGUCUAUGUUGAUGACUUACUAAUCACAGGGAACAGCCAACACCUAAUUGAUAAUACUCAGAAAACUUUGCACAACAAGUUCAAGAUUAAAGACUUGGGGCAACUCAAAUAUUUUUUGGGAAUUGAAAUAUUAAGGUCUGAAAAAGGAGUUCUACUUAAUCAAAGGAAGUACGCCUUAGAGUUACUUUCAGCAGUAGGAUUAGGAGGAACCAAACCAGCUUCUACUCCCAUGGAGAUGAAUGCAAAGCUGACUACAGUAGAGUAUGACUCAGUAGUUGGAAAUAAUGAUGAUCCUGAGUUAACUGAUAUACACAGCUACCAACAGUUAGUGGGGAAACUGAUCUAUUUGACGAUCACCAGACCAGAUAUAUGUUUUGCAGUCCAAGUUCUCAGUCAAUUCAUGCAACACCCCAAGAGAUCACAUUGGGAUGCUGCACUCAGAGUUCUCAGAUAUCUCAAAAAGGCACCUGGACAAGGGGUGUUACUAAAGAAGGGGCCAAUCACAAGCUUAACAGCAUAUUGUGAUUCAGAUUGGGCAGCUUGCCCCAACACUAGGAGGUCUGUGACAGGAUAUGUGAUUCAACUUGGAGACUCUCUGAUUUCAUAGAAGUCAAAGAAGCAGCAUACUAUCAGUAGAAGCUCAGCAGAGGCUGAAUAUAGGAGUAUGGCAGGCACAGUAGCAGAAAUCAUUUGGUUAGUUGGACUGCUUAGAGACUUAAAGAUAGACAUUAUCACUCCAGUUAAGUUGUGUUGUGAUAACAAGGCAGCUAUGCAGAUUGCUUCUAAUCCAAUCUUCCAUGAGAGGACCAAACAUAUUGAAAUUGAUUGUCAUUUUAUAAGAGAAAAGCUCAAGGAUGGUCUGAUCAAGCCAGAGUAUAUAGGGACUAAAUCUCAGUUAGCAGAUUUGCUUACAAAGGGUUUAGGGAUUAUGCAGCAUGAACUUCUUCUUUCCAAGCUAGGAGUCCUUGAUAUUUUCCAUCCUAGCUUGAGGGGGAGUAUUAAUUCUAGAAGUGAUUAGAAGCUAAGUUGAUUAAAAUGAAGUUAGUUGUAACAGAAUAUUCUGUAAGAGUUAGUUACUAGAACAGAGUUAGUUACAAAACGUGUGGUAUAAAUAAGCUGUAAAUGUAUGAUGUGUGAUUUAUGAAAACAUUCUCUCUUCUUCCUCUUCUGAAAAUUCUCUCUGUACUGCUAUGAACAAAUUCAUCAAUAUGAAUUAACAAAAAUGAAUUUAAGUUCAACGUUGGAAUAUUUAGUUAUACAUGUAUAUCUAUGUAUGCAUUUUUAUGUUAUGAUUUUAGUCAUUUUAACGACCUUAUCUUCUCCUGUUUGAUAAGAAUUGCAUUUGUAAACAAUAAAAUAUUCAAAUUGUAGUACGUAUAGUUUUGGGGUAAAAGUGUGAUUGUGAAGUAAAUAAAUCAGUGUGAAGUAUAUAUAGAAGGAUGUCUUUGUCCGCAAUCACCUCAUCCUUCCUUCCCAUUCUCACGUAGUCUCCUCGAUGUCUGAAUCUUAGAAAAACAGAACUCAUUAGAAGGAAAGAGAGAUGGCUACUAAUUAAUAUUUGAUAUCCAAAAUUGAAACAAAGCCUCCCAAACACCAAUUCAGAACUCACUACUGCAGAAUUACCUCACAACUCAAGGAAAAAACUAUAUAAAAUUUAAAAGCAUCAUUACUCGAUGCCAGAGACAAUACCAAAGUACAAAGUAUGGCAACUGCAGAAUAGGAACCUCCCAAAACUAUAGUUAUAGAGCGCAAUUAUCAAAACUAUAGUUAUAGAGCCUUAUUAUGUCUAUUAUCUUUGCUAUUUCUGAAAUUUUCUCGAAAUAAAUAUCCCUUUGAGUUGGGGUUGCUCACUAUCACUUAAUAAAAUGUUUCUUUGAGAUGAAUUAUAAGUCCAAGUUUACAAGCCUUUUUAGCAAGUGAAAUAAAAAAUGAAAGGAAAUAGGAAGAGCCCAUGAACAUAUUAAUUAAGAACUGACUAAUAAUGAAAGAUAGAAUUUGAACAUACCAUAGGAGUAAUUUGAAGUUGAAGUUCAUAAUUUCCCAAGCUUUGUUGCUCUUGUUGAGUUUUCUUUGCACUAUUCUCUACAGCAGAGCUGCAAUAUUCUAUUUGGAUCAAUUUUAAUGUCAUUAUUUCUCCAAUACUCUCCGGAAUCUCCUCCAGUUCAAACAACUCAUUUAGUGAUAGCUGCUCAAGACUGAGAGAAUCAAUAUUAAGCGUUUCUAUGUGUAGUGUCUCCAGAUCCUGUACAAGACUGAGAGAAUCAAUAAUUGCAGGACAAUCAGGAUGCCCAGAUUUAUCUAAAAUCUUUAGCUUUUUUAGAUUGGGAGUUCUUCUUAUGAUUUCCACAACAAAAGGAGAGUUAUAGAGAUAAAGUGUUUGCAAGUUAUUCAGAAGGCACAAAGCUUGUUCUGCUUCAACAGGAUUUGACAUACUCCAGAUAUCCACAUGUCUUGUCUCUGACAUACUCCAGAUUUCUACUGGAUGCUCCAACGUUGUUGGUCUGACAGAGAAGUAUCUUCGAAGAAUUAUGGUCUGUAGAUUUCUCAAUUUGUCUAGUGAAAGAGCUUUCUCAAUAUUUGGAGCAACAUAUCUCAAUUGUACAAGCUCAGGUAUUACACUAGAGAAAUCGUAUUCAAUUGAUAAUACGUCCAAUACCUUAAGCAACUUGAACUGUGAAACAAUGGAACACAUCCGUGUUGGAAAAUCUACUUGCAUUGAAAUAAAGGUGCAGAUUAUACCACUGCUAUGUUGCAUACUAUAAUCAUGCUUCUCUUCAACUUCAGACAGAAGGAUCAUUCGACGUUGAUUAUCUAUGGCUUCAAGAACAUUCCCAUUCAUGACAUGCACAACAUUUUCAGUAUGAGCUUCACUUAGGCAUAGUUGGCGAAGAAGAUCAUGAAUUUUGCAAGUUCUCAUCCUUCCAUUAACCAUUCUUUUUGUUUUUUAAAAAGUUAUUGCAUUCGACUGAAUUCUAACUCGUAUCACUUGAUUUUACAGGUACGUUGGUGAUAACACGAGUGUAUGCAGAUGAUACAUGUAACGAACGCUAUGAUGAUAAUUUUAUUCUUUGUCCUCAAUAAGACAUUAAAUGUGUAUACGAUGGAAAAAGAAUGAUAUUUUUCUAUACAAACUUAACAUGUCAUGUUAAAUACUUGAACUAUAAGAAAAAAAUUAAAGAAAGCACAGCAUUUGACUGUUCUCAUAUCCUAUAUACUUUUGUCACUUUUUAUUUCCUCAAACUUUUGUUGCAACCUGCAGAUCCUACACAUGAUAAACCUUAACAAAGCAAAGUGUGGAAUGCAGCUAGCUUUUUUAGUCAGAGGUUCAUCGUUUUGGCUCAUUCAACGUCUUACCCUCAAAAAAUUCACCAAGCAUACGUUCAAGAUCUUCAGCCGAGUAGUACCUGAUAUACUUUGGGGGUUCUUACCGCUCUCAACCAUGGGCCUACUCCAGAAAAUACAUUGAAUUAUCAGAAUAAGAUUAGAAGUAAUCAUACAAGAAAAACUGACUUACUAUGAAGUUUGAAGCAAUGUUAUAUUGGCAUAAUACAUAAACAAACAUUAAACUUGAUCUCAGAUGGCAAGUAAACACUUCGAUCAACUUUGAAAGUGCACAUCUAGACACCUCAACUUUCAUUUGAUAUGUCAUGGGCGUUGGAAAGAGGAUUCAAUUAUCUUUCAUUUGAUAGGUCAUGGCCAUGGGCCACCCAAUUCCUUUUGUGCUAAGAGUUAUGACCGUUUGAAGUUAAACUACAACCUGUAUAGAAAUCAGCCCAAUCGAACACUCACAGACCAAUAGUCACAGUUCAGCAACCAAUAAGCUUCAAGUAUAUCUAGAGACGGAUCUAGGAUUUGGAGGUCGUGGGUGCCAUAUCAUUCGAGUAAGAUAAAAGGAUCGGUUGCUUUAAUUUUGGGUUACAAUUCGGGUUAUUAAUCUUUUUUAUUUUUAUAAACAAAUCAAUCAAAUAUGCAUGUUAGUAAUAUUCUUUUUUUUAGAUAUUCCGAGAUUAGAGAUAAUUAAACAAUUCAAUUUUAAUUUACUUUUUGGAAUUAGAUGUCUUAUUCGUUGAAAUUUUGUGAAAAAAAAAAAUUUCACAUUAAAAUUUGAGCUUGUAUAAACUAUUUAACAGUAUGAACUUAAUAUAUUCAUAUUCCAUUGACUUUAUGUGUUGUUGGAGAUAUAUAGUAGGGAAAAAAUAAAAAUUAUAGUUUCAGCAUAGUCAUCUUACUUAGCAAGAACAUCAGUGAAGAUCGAAAGAACAUUUAAAUUAAAAAAAAUUAUCCUAAUAAUAUUCAUCAUUUUUAAAACUUAUAUUUUUUAAAAACUACUAUUUAAAUAUAUUCUUAAUAAUAUUUAUUUGACGUUCAUAAUUCAGCAAUCAUUAAUUGAUAAAGAAUAAACAUGUAACACUCAUAUCAAUAGAUUAAUAGUUAGUGAAAGAGAAAGUAAAAAAAAAGAAAUUAAUUGUGAAAAAGAGUCAAUUUGAAUUAAUAAAGAAUAGUAAAUAAAUAAGAAUGAAUGGAGAAAAAAAUGAAAGCCCUUUACAAAUUAAUUAAAAAGACAAAAAAAAAUGAAAAAAGGAGCAAAAAAGACAAAAAAAAAGAAAAGAAAUGAAAAAAGGAGCAAACAAAAAAAACAGGUGCUUGCAGCAAGGUUCGAACCCGCAUUGGCUGUGUGGCAAGUGGCCUCCUUAACCAAUUGAACUGUUCAGCAUUUCAGUUAUUGGGUGGCAAAGUUAAUAUAUAUUUAAGUUUUAGAUAUAUAUAUGUACAUAUAUAUACAACGUUUUUUCCGAAAUCACUGGGUGCCGUGGCACCGCCACCUAACCACGUAGAUCCACCCCUGAGUAUAUCAAUCACACAUAUCAAGUAGGUCAUUCACACGUAUCAAGUAGAUUAAUCACAAGUGUCCAGUAGAUCAAUCACAAGUAUCAAAAUGCAUCAAAUUACAAUAAUCAAACUCUUGUCGGAACCAUUUUCCUUCGACACAAUAUCACUACCCAGAACCAUUUCCCUUCGACUUUAUAUCAUAACAUUGUAAAAAUGGUACUCCAUAAAUUUCAAUAGUUAAAAAGGGUGGCAUGUAAAUCAAAAUAAGUGAAGCCCACAGUGGGCAAUGAAAUUUAUUUUGAAGGGCUAAAAACGUCUUUACAGUAGAGAAGGAAAACAAAGCUGCAACCAAUGAAAAAAAAGAAAAGAAAUUAGCUCAAAAGACUCAACUACCUUCAGCAGGCAUUGACCUAUGGUUUGCUUGAGAUGGUGAAGCUCCCUUUUAUAAUAAAGUAUAAUAUAAUAUAAAAUAUAAUAUAAUAAUAAUAAUAAUAGAUUUCAAAGCUACAAAAGAAAAAAAAAAUGUAUACUCCCUUUGUCCCAUUAUAUAGGGAAAAUGCAUAGUACCCCCAACCUAUUCCCGAAAUCUCAGAGACACACUUAUGCAUUUUCCCCAUUAUAUAUGAGUAAGUUUGAUUUAACACAAAAUUUAAGGAAAUUUUUUUUUUUAAAAUUUAUGGUCUAACAUAAGUGAUACUCUUUGUUCCUAUUUAUAUGUCGUCUUUACUAAAAAUAGAUGGUCUUUAAUAUUUGUCAUUUUACAAAAUCAAUGCAUAAAUAAUAUUAUUCUUUCUAUUUUACCCUUUGCUAUUAACCUUGAAAGUAUACAUUUAUCCAACAUAAAAAAACUAAGUGAUUAAUUUAUUUUUAUUGGUCAAAUUAGUUAAUCAAAGUAAAUUAAUUUAUGUUCAUUUUUUGAAACCUUAACUUCAAGAGAACACAAAAUAAGGGUACAAUGACAAACUUACUUGGUUACUUAAGGGGUGUGAAACCUAAAACGGUGACAACUAAAUAGAAAUGGAGGGAGUAGAUGUUUAUGUGACUAAAUCAUUUCAUUAAGGAUAAAAUGAACAUUUUAAAGUUAAAUUAUCGCUAAAUAUAGAAAUAUGUUAUAUUUUUAGACCGACUAAAAAAGUAAAUGAAUCAUAUAAAUUAGGGCAGAGGGAGCAAGGGCGGACCUAGGUGGAGCCUAGCUGAACCCCCUCGUCAAAAAAUAACACUAUGUACAUAACGUCAAAUUUGACUUUAUGUGUAUAUAUAUUAAAAUGAACCCCUUGAGAACAAAGGACAAACUUGGCCCAAUGGAUAAGUGGGUCAUGUAAUGCCCCUAUGUCACGGGUUCAAGUCCCAUUGGCAACAUUUUUUCCCUUUUUUAAUAUUAGCUUUGGUAAAUGGAACUUUUGGGCUUAGACCAUCUCCAAUCCACCUCUAUUUUACUCUCCAUUCUCUAUAUUUGGAGAGUAAAAUAGAGAAUGGACACUCCAACCAACCUCCAAAUCACCCUCUAUUCUUCAAAUUUAGAGAGUUGAAUAGUAGUUCUCCAAAUUUGAAGAACUACUAUUCACACUUUCUAUUUCACUUUUUCAUUAGUUUAUUAUUAUUUCUAUUACUUUAUAAUUAACAUAUUAUUUUACAUAUAAUUUCAUUAAUUAAAUAUCUAAUAUUCAUAAUUCUUUUUAAAUGUAAUAUAAUAUUUUUAAAAAAUUAUUUAAUAUAUACUACUUUAAUUUCAAAUUAAUAGUAUUUUUUAAAAAAUUCUAAUUUUCGUCAUUAAUUUUCAUUAUAAAGAAUACACAAAAUUAAAAUGGCAAGAUGAAAAAUUUAAUUUAAAAAUGCAAUACAUAAUAUGAUAAUUUAAAUACAAGAUAACAAUACAAUAUAUAACAUAAUAAUUUAAAUACAAGAUAACAAUACAAUACAUAACAUAAUAAUUUAAAUACAAGAUAAAAUACAACACAUAACAUAAUAAUUAAUUUAUUACAACAAUAAUUUAGUAAUCCGGUAGGUCGUUUCCAGAUUUAGCAAUAUUCAGAAAAAAAUUAGGAUAUGAUUCUGAGAAUUGUUGCGAUUAUGGUUGUGAUUGUCGAUUUCUUUUUUCAAGUAUUCGUUGUUGUUCUCGUUGCAGGUAAUCACGAACAUUUAGAUCACUAAUAGUUUCUAAAUUUUUCAUUAAAAUUUUAUUUUCGUCUCUAAAUUCCUUGGCUUUGAUAUAUCUACAUUUAUUUUCCAAUCUUGUUAGCGGUAUUGCGCCUCCAGCCCAUUAUGUUAUUCAAGGAAAAGAAUAUGUUAUGGGUUAUUACUUAGCUGACGGUAUAUAUCCUAAAUGGUCUACAAUUGUUCAAACUAUUCGUGAUCCUUAUUCCUAAAAGAAGAAAUAUUUCGCGAUGAAACAAGAAUCGUGCAGAAAAGAUGUUGAACGUGCAUUUGAAGUUUUGCAAUCACGUUUUGCAAUUAUUGCAGGACCGUCACGUUUUUGGAGAAAGGAAGUGCUACAUGAUAUAAUUACUACAUGUAUUAUACUGCACAACAUGAUAAUUGAGGAUGAACGUGAUCUCAAUGCACCAAUUCAAGAUGUCGUAGAGGCUCCAACUCCAACUAUAGAAAUGGUGGUAGAUGAAAAUCUCUGGUUUGAACAAUUUUUAGCUAGACAUAAAAAAAUUAAGGACAAAAAUGCUCAUUUUGAACUUCGUAAUGCAUUAAUAGAACAUUGAUGGGAGCAACGUAAUAAUUUUGAAAAUUGAGUGUUUAUGUAAUUGUAUGUCACUUUUAUUUGAAUUUGUCCAUUAAUUUAUGUAUUAUAUUAUAUUUUCUUGCAAUUUAAGUUAUUUAAAAAUUUAGAAUAAAAUAUAAUUUUAUAUCACAUUAAAAAUUAUAUAAAGUAAUUAUUUGGGAAAAAAAAAUAAAGGAUUUAUAUUAUGAAAUAAGAAAAUAAGAAUGAAAUGGAAAUAAUAAUAUAAUAUUGAGGAGAGAGAAAAAAAUUCCUUUUUAGAGAGUAAAAUAGAGAAUUGGGUUGGAGUUGGUUGUCUGAAAAAAUAGAGAACUCUAUAUUUGGAGAGUAAAAUAGAGGAUAGGGUUGGAGAUGCCCUUAGACCUUCUUCUUCAUUUUCAUUAUUUUUUCCUUUUAUUCCAUUUCUUCUUUUUAAUUUAUUUUUGUUUAAAUUUAUUAUACACAUUCUUUUUAUUUUUAUAUUUUAUUCCUUUUAUAUCUAUUAUUCAUUUUGUUACAAUAUAACUCUUUUUUCAUAUACGUUUGAAUAACUUUUUUUUAAAAAUGAUGAAUUAUAUUUAACUUGAAAUUGAGAUAGAAAUAUAGUUUGUUUUUUUUUUAAAUGUAAAUUAGAUGUAAUUGAAUGAAGAAACUUAAAUAUCGUCAACGUCCUUCUAAAAAUAUUAAUUUAAUAGAAUUCUUGAAAUUUCUUUUAUAUUUUUAAUUCUAUUUUAGUGAGAUGAAAACUAAACUUAUUUGAUUUAUUCGUUAUUUAAUUUUAAGAAUGCUCGAUGGAGCAUGAUAAAAGUAAAAAGAAAUGUUUAAUACGGUAUGAUAAAGUGAGUUCAAUUUAGCAUGACAAGGUAAAUAUCUUUCUUCCCCGUCUCGCUCCCCUUUUCAUCAUUUAAUUUUCAUGUGUUUUAGGAAUUAACUUAUGUAAUACAGUCUAUCCACUAAAAUUCUUAUCAAUGCAUCUUUGUCCUCGAUAUCUUUGAUUAGCUUAGUCUUUACUUUUAUGAACCAAUGAAAUAUCUAUGGUUCUUGUACAAAGAGCAUGCCGAGGGGCUACUACGCUCACCGCACACUUGCAUUACCACCUGAACUUCUUCUUUAUACUUCGAACCCCCUGAGCAAAAAUCCUGGGUCCGCCACUGAGAGGGAGUACUACAUUUCAAAUUGAAAAUAUGGCAAUCAUGAUUAAUUUGAUAGGAUAUUUAAUUUAGCUACUUUAUUAAAUAAUUUACAAAUUCUAUUUGGAACUAUAUGAAAUAGUGCACAUAUACCCUUGAGUCGUUUUUUACAUUAAAAAAUAUCCCUUUGAGUUGGGGUUGCUCGCUAUCACUUAAUAAAAUGUUUCUUUGAUACUCCAUAUGUCCCUAAUUACUUGUUUAUUUUUUAAAUGACACAUCUAUUAAGAAAACAAUGAAUGACAUAGUGAGUUUACCAUUUUACUCCUAUUAAUUAUGAAGUGGGUGAAUUAAAAACUUGAGAUUUUUAAGAAGUUCUACCUUUUUUCAUAGUAAUUAAUUGAGGAUAUAAUAGGUAAAAAUAAUUUGUCCUUUCUUGAUUUGUCAAAAUAGACAAAUAAUUAGGGAUAACUAAAAAAGGAAAAGUGGGCAGGUAAUUAGGGACAGAGGGAGUAUGUAUUAUAAGGAAAUAGGAAGAGCACAUGAACAUAUUAAUUAAGAAUUGACUAAUAAUAGAAGAUGGAAUUUCAACAUACCUUUUGAGUAAUUUGAAGUUGUAGCUCAUAAUUUCCCAAGCUUUCUUGCUCUUGUUGAAUUUUCUUUGCACUAUUUACUACACCAGAACUGCAAUCAACUAUUUGGAUUAACUUUAGUGUCAUUGUAUCUCCAAUACUCUCCGGAAUCUCCUCCAGUUGAAUAAACCAAUGCAGUAUUAGUUGCUCAAGCAUCGGAAAAUUAUCACUACCAUCUGCUUCCCACCUUUGAAAAUCAUAGGGCCCAUACAGUUGUAGAUAUUUUAAUUUAUGAAACACAACAUCUUCAUCUACUUUCCAAUCUGUUCCAGAAAAUGCACGAUACCCUUUGAGCACCUCAAGAUUCGGUAAAUUAGCCAGCAAAUUCACAACUUCCCAUGGUAUACGAGUACGUGUUAAUGUCAACUUCUUGAGAUUAGGAAGAAAAAUAUCUCCUGGGAUAAUCACCGGGUCAAUGUUGUUUCGUGUUUCUAUGUGUAGUGUCUCCAUAUCCUGUAAAAGACUGAGAGAAUCAAGAAAAUCAGGAAGCUUGGAUCUAUCUAAAAUCUUUAGCUUUUUUAGAUUGGGAGUUCUUCUUAUGAUUUCCGCAACAAAAGGAGAAUAAUGAAGAUAAAGCGUUUGCAAGUUAUUCAGAAGGCACAAAGGUUGUUCUGCUUCAAGGGGAUUUGAUAUAUAAUUUGGCCAUCUAAUAUCCAAAUGUCUUAUCUCUGACAUUCUCCAGAUAUCUAGUGACUGCUUCAACGUUGUUGGUAUGAAAGAGAUAUAUCUUCGAAGAACUAUGGUCUGUAGAUUUCUCAAUUUGUCUAGUGAACUAGCUUCCUUAAUUCUUACAGCAACAUAUCUCAAAUGUACAAGCUCAGGUAUUACCCAAGAGAAAUCGUAUUCAAUUGAUAAUACAUCCAAUACCUUAAGCAACUUCAACUGUGAACACAUCCAUUUUGGAAAAGCUACAUCCACUGAAAUAAAGGUACGUAUUAUACCACUGCUAUGUCGCAGACGAUAAUCAUGCUUCUCUUCAUCAUUAGACACAAGGAUCACUCGACGUUGAUCAUCUAUGGCUUUGAGAGCAUCCCCAUUCAUGACAUGCAAAACAUUUUCAGUAUGAGCUUCACUUAGGCACAAUUGGCGAAGAAGAUCGUGAAUUUUGCAACUUCUCAUCCUUCCAUUAGCCCUUUGUUGACCAAUCAAAAUUAGACUUCUAUCAAUUAACUCUUUUACAUACUCCUCUGCUACCACUUCUAAUCUUUUAUUCUUUCUUGCCUUUACGAAUUGCUCAGAAAUCCAUAGCCUAAUCAACUUGGAAACGUUAAUCUCUCUGUCUUCUGGAAAACCUCCAAUAUAGAGAAAACAAGCCUUCAAAUAUUGGGGCAAGUAAUUGUAGCUCAGAGAAAGAAUUGAUUGGCACCGUUCGGACACCGUACCAAAGAAUGAGUUCAGAUUUUCCUCAACCUCCUUCCAAUUAUCAUGUGUAGGGUCCAUUUUUCAAAGAAGUCCAGCAACGACAAUAAUCGAGAGAGGUAAUCCUUGACAUUGUUCUACAAUAUGCUUCCCCAUUUCUACAAGUAAAGGAGGACACGGAUCUUUUUUGAAUAAUUUUUCGGUGAAUAGAUUCCAACUAUCAUCUUGACUUAGAAAAGACAUACUAUGAGGAGGAAAAUCAGGGCAGUUUACAUAAUCAGCAACAUACUUGAGCCGAGUAGUUAAUAGAAUUCGGCUUUUAUUGUCAUCAUUUGGAAAUAUUCUUUGCAUUUGGUCCCAUGCCUCAGUACUCCAAAUAUCAUCUAUGACAAAUAGGAAUCUCCUACCCUUCAAA
rnacentral:lncRNA from 1 species